rnacentral:lncRNA from 1 species
CAAGAGGCAGCUACAACCGGAAUGCAGGUACAUCUUCAAAUCCAGCUCCCAUCAAACACAACAACAUCAGCAACCAAUAUCUGCACGCAAGGUAUAAAAGUGUAGUAUGAGUACAACCGACCCCAUGUACUCAAUAAGUAACAAACCUAACCUUAGGUUGAAAGUAGUGACGAGCUGGAAUAAAGGGCAGAGUCCAAUACCAAUAGCCAACAACAGUUUAUAACAACAUAAUGAAAGUAAUAAAAGAAGUAACUUAGAGAUAAAAUGCUCAGAUCAUCCUCAAUUCUAGAAAAAUAGGCCUGUUUUUCAAGUAUAUCAGUGAAAACCCAAAUCUUUUAGUGAAAUCGCCAAAAAUAUGAGUAAGUUUGAAAAUUGAAUCUUUCCCAAAAAGCUUUCAACAGGUAAAUGUUUUAUUUUCAAAUGGCAUGAGGAAAAUACAUCUCUAUGUCUAUAUGUCAAUAUGUGUGAGAAGUCAUGAAUGACGUAAUACCGUACAACAUGGGGAAAAUGCAUCUCAUUGCUUGUAUGUCAAGUGUGCAUGCCAAAUGCGAUGCGACUCAGUGAUAAAACCAUAUGCAUACUCUCAGAGUAUCAAUUCACUCAGUACUCCUAGUCACUCCGUCCUCACAGUCACUCAGUCCUCACAGCCACUCAAUCCUCACAGUCACUCAAUCCUCCCAAUCACUCGGCACUCGCACUUGGUACUCGACACUCACACUUAGUAGGUACCUGCGCUCACUGGGAGUGUGUACAGACUCCGGAGGGGCUCCUUUAGCCCAAGCGCUAUAACAAGCUAAUCAUGGCAUAAAUUAGUAAAAUAUGUUGUGGCGUGCAGCCCGAUCCCAUAAACAUCCUCACCAUUAGGCCAUCGGCCUCAAUCAGUCAUCAAUCUCUCAAGUCUUUCGGACAUUCAAUCUCAUGAAAUAUCAGCCCAAAAAUAAUGAUAUGAUGUAUCAAUAAAUAGUAACAUAGACUAAGAUGUGAUAUGCAUAUGAAUGUGUAUGACUGAGUAUGUAACGCAAUGAAAGCAGAUAGCUCAACAGUAGAAAUGACCUUAGUGGCUCCCAACAGGAUAAGUAUGUAGCCUAGACAUGCAUUCUAGCAUGGAUCACAACUCAAUAGCUCAAGUAACAAAGUCACAAUUCACAUAGUGCAUGCCCACACGCCCGUCACCUAGCAUGUGCGUGACCUUAAUACCAAUCACAUAACACGUAAUUCGGGGUUCCAUACCUUCGGCACCAAGUUUAGAAAUGUUACUUACCUCGAACAAGCCAAUUCCAAUACUGAUCAAGCCAAGCGAUGCUCAAAAAAUGUCAUCUCACGUGUAUCGGCCUCUGGACGGCUCAAAACUAGCCAAAAGCAACUCAAAUAAAUCAAAUAAGGCCCAAGGAAAUAAUUCCAAAUGAUAAUGGUCAAAUCCUUACUCAAAUGCCCCCAAACCAUCCCAAAAGUCCAACCCGGCCCGCACCUCAAAACCCAACAAAACUCACAGAAUCUGACAAUCCAUUCAAUUACGAGUCCAACCAUACUAGUUUCACUCAAAUCCGACUCUGAGUCGAUGCUCAAAACUCAAAAAUUCACAUUAUGAAACUUUAAGCAAAACUCCCCAAUUUUCAUCUCAAAAUACUAAUUAAAUGAUGAAAACAAUGAUAUAUUCAUAUAUAUUAACCAAUUCCGAGUUUGAAUCACUUACCCCGAUGAAUUUCUUGAAAAACCCACGAACAAAUUGCCACAAACCGAGCUCCCAAAGUCCAAAUGUGAAAUAAUACUCUAACCCUCAUUUAUAUAGUACAAAAUCUGACCUUCCAUUGUGCUGACCUCACAUUUUUUUGUGCGGCCGCACAUCCCAGGUGUCGCGGCCGCAAGUCCAAAUUUUGCGGUCGCACUUCCACAGUAACUGCACUACCAGGAUUUAGUAAAAUACACAUAACUUUUUGUACAAAUGUCUAAAUGAUGAUUGGUUUGCCUUCAUGGAAACUAGACUCAAAUGUCUACAACCUUUGUUUUGGGAUCAUCUCCAAAUUCCUUAUAGAUCAAAAUAUAUAAGCUUCUGAAGUCAGACCAUCGAAACUGUAGAACCCCCUUUCUGCGGCCACAAGAAGAAUUCUGCGGACCGCAUAAUUUCAACUGCGGUACGCAUAAUUACCAUUGCCUCCGCACUUUGGGAUUCUGCGGCCGCACAUCCGCAAUCCAAAAUGUGCACCCCCUACUCCCAAAAGCUCCAGAACAAUAUCAGUGUGCCGAAAUGUCUAAACAUGUUCAAAACUUAUCCCGAAUUACACCUGAGCCACUCGGGACCCCGUCCGAAUAUACCAACAAGUCCCGUAACAUAACACGGACCUACUAGAGGCCUCAGAUCAUACAUAAACAAAUCACACCUCAAUUCAAACUUGAUGAACUUUGAACUUUUCAACUUCCAUAACGCAUGCUGAAACAUAGCAAACCAAUCCAGAAUGAACCCAAAUUUUGCACAUAAGUCCCAAAUAAUAUAAUGAAGUUAUUCCAAUUUCCGGAACCACAAUCCGAAUCUGAUAUCAAAAAGUUCACUCCCGGUCAAACUUUCCAAAAAAUUAACUUUAUCCAUUUCAAUCCAAAUUCAACUACGGACCUCCAAAUCACAAUCCGGAUACGCUCCUAAGUCCAAAAUCACCCAACGGAGCUAACAGAACCAUCAAAACUCCAAUCCAAGGUCAAAUACUAAAAAGUCAAACUUGGUUAACUCUUCCAAUUUACAACUUCCUAGUUGAAAAUCAUUCUUCCAAAUUAAUUUUGAAUAACCUGAAAACCAAAACCGAUGAUUCACAUAAGUCAUAAUACAUCAUAUGGAGCUACUCAUGCCCUCAGACCACCAAGCGGAGUGCAAAUGCUCAAAACAACCGGUCGGGUCGUUGCAUCCUCCGCCACUUAAACAUAUAUUUCUCCUCGAACGUGCCCAGAGUUGUUCCAAAGCUACCAAACCUCCAUGUAAGCUCGCCAUGCACAUACCCGGGGUCAAGCACUUUCACUCUACUCCUAAGUCAAUAAAUUCUGCCCCCUCCAGUAUGUGUACUGCCUUGGGAUCCUUUUAAGAACCCUCUAAACUAUGGCAUACUGAGCCUGGCCUUUCCACACUGCAAUAUUCAAUUUUGGUUACCAUGUCUAGGUGUAAGCACUGCCCGGGAUCCUUAAGAUCCUUAGGGAACUUUGAUGCACCUAGACUAUAAUUUUGUCUAUGGAAUUAAGGCAUUUGAGGCUAUUGGAGGCUUUGGAAACCUGGGCCUAGUUGAAGGCUCCCUAUAGAAUAACUUCUUCAUUUCUUAUUUACUUAUGUAAUUUAUUCAUAUGGCCUGUAAUAACUUGUAAACAAAUAUUGGGUUAAUUAGUGAAAGGGAUGGGUAGCUACAUAUUUAUGGGAUAAUACGGAUAGAAAUCAUGCUUAUAGGACUUUACAUUCUAAUCUGAUUGCCUUACCAAGUAGAAAUCAUGCUUAUAGGACUUUACAUCUCGUCAUGUUUAUCUCACCAUGUUAGAAAUCAUGCCUAUAGGUUUCAAAUAAUUCUGUAAUAAAAAUCAUGUCUGCAGGUUUUAAAAUCAGCCUAACAAAUAGAUGUCAUGCCUAUAGGAUUUAACCCGAAUUCUAUUAUAACAAGUGUUUAUGUAUGUUUCUAUGCCUGCAAGUCUUUAAAGUCAGUAUUAAACUUACAUAUCAUGCCUAUAGGAAACAAUAUCAAAUCUUGCCUAUGGAUCUCGCUAAAGUUUAGUUUAAAUAACUCAAUCCGGUUUACGUUUAGUUCACUUCUGAAUUAGUUUAAUUAAGUGGUAUAUUUCCUGAAACAAGUUCUUUCAAAACUGCCUCAUUUUAUCAUUGGACAACAUGCCUAUAGGUACUAAAAGUUCGUCUUAAAACUCGCCUUGUUUCACUAUAAGACGUAGUUAUCAGUGUUCCGCGUAGGCAAGCCUGUAGGGCAUUUUUUUAAAAACUUGCAAUUCUGAAGCUGUUUCUGUAACUUAGUGUCUUUUUGAUCUUAACAGGCUUUAAAAACCAAUAGGCAACUGUUAGGGUCCUUACUUCUGUGUCUAAAAAUAAGUUGCUUGCUUUCUGCAUAUUCACCUAGAUAUCCUGCCUUAGGAUACUGUUUAAUAAAAAGCCCUUAAUUGUGCUUGAGUCAUGCUCGUUUGUGUGCCUUGUUUGAGGAGGAAACUUUGAGCCGCNNNNNNNNNNNNNNNNNNNNNNNNNUGUCGCCUUAGAAUUUUCACCUUUAAAAUCUUAGGGGUCUGUCUAGAACUACCUAUAGGUAGAGGUCCUAAAUCCCUCCAGGACCAUUAAGAAGGGACGGGUAACAACACGCAAUAGAGAUCGCUGACCAAACACUCGCUUUGCAUGACCACUAAGGGGAUGGGAAGGGUAGAUAUAGGAUAUGAUGACUACGCGCUAAUGUCAUGUGUAGCCCCUCAUCGAGGAGUGUCUACCGGACAUUGUGUGGGGUGAUCCUAUAGACUAACCAAUCUAGGACUCCUCCUUUUUUCCAAAAUUCCUUUUUUUUAAACCUUUAUUUUAUACAACUUGUUCAAAAAAUCUUUAUCCUACUACUCGAGUUAUCCAACAUGCUUUACUUGCAACCUAUUUGAUUCAACUGUUUAUUGUAAUGGACUAAUUUGUAAAUAUAAGUUCAUCCGGGACCCACAGUUGUGGACCAAGAGGGGUGCCUAACACCUUCCCCUCAAGGUUAUUUCGAGCCCUUACCCUAAAUCUUUGGUAAUGCAAACCAAUCCAUGAGUUAAUUACUCUAGGUGCCCUAACGCACCAUAACUCGUGGAGACUCUUCAAAUACCCAACUCCUAAAGGGAAAUGAGUUAUCACACCCCAUGGAAUGUCGAAACCCGAACCUCUCUCCGCGGAGGGAAAAAAAGGGUGUGCGACAGCAUGGCAACUCUGCUGGGGAUAUCUUUUAGGCUCUUACCAUAACGAACUUGUUUUUGCUAAUUAGUCCAAGAAUGCUUUAUCCCGUACUCUUCUCCCUUAUUUGAAUUUCACUGUCUAUUUUUUCAAGCAUUUAUGAUUUCUUUAUUAUCCUUGAAACUAACUUGUCUCUUUGUUUCCUUUUUCCUGUAAUUGUCUUUCAAUUAUUUAAAUGUUGUAUUUAUUCUUCCUACGUGAAAAUACUUGACUACAUGUUAUUAAUUGCUGCAUAAAUCAUGCUCUGCAUCAUAUUCCACUCGUGCAUAUCAAAUCCUAUAGCAACGCUUUAACGAGUGGUUGUGCUCUUCCUAUUUACUACCCUUAUAUUCGGAAAGGCUUAUUUGUAGUAAAACCAGUCGAUCAGCAGUGCAGUCGACAGUUUCAUGCCUUCCUCCUCGGGUUGUCCGCUUGAGGGUACCGGUCUAAAAUCCCAUAGAAACCUUACUCUGGUUAAAAUUAUGCAUGCAUCAUGGUCAAACCUAGUCGGACCAGUUAUGUUGUCCACAUAAUGAUCCUUUAAGAUAAGCCUUAUCCAAAGUCCAUUGGGUUUUCCAUAAUCCCAACAGAUGCAACCACGUUCUAUGCAUUAAUUUGGAGAACUAAAUGCUGAUAUGUUGAUCAUAAAUGUAUAAAUAGUCGAGCCUGGUAGGGGUAAGGCCUAACCCUUUUGUUUUGCAGAAUAUAAGGUACAAGGUCCCCGGAUUCAGUAUGGUUAGCACACCCUCACGCUUGCUAGACUAGUGGAUGAGUCUUCCAUCAAAUGACCAAAUCAAUGAAUGAAAAGAGAGGGUCGUCAAAGCUAGCAAAAAGCUGGAAUAUCUGGAAUACAGUCUGCUGGAAUUGGAAGGAAAAGUGAGGAAGAGAGUCACCGACUGCCAGAACAUUGAGGGAAAUGAAGGAGAACAUUUGGCAAAGGCAUUUUUACUGGUGAACCUACACGAACUGGAGGAUUUGAUCAAUGAGAGCAUUCAACUUGAGGAAGGCCCUGCCGAGACUAAAUAGAUUAGGUUUACUUGCUUUCCAAAUGUAAUAAGGCCAAGUGCCAGUAGUGACUUAUUUUAUUAUUAUCUUAGUGUCGUUUUGGGAUUCGUCUAUUUUUAUAUUAUGAAAUGAAGCAUUUAUUGGCAUUUCAAGUUCUCUAAAUCUAUUUGUCGCUAGGCCUACCUCGGGCACAACGAGGUUCCCAAAUUAAGAUGCAAAUUUACAUUUCCGCAAUAUGUGUUUAAAUACUACAAACAUUUUAGAAUCUUCACUGACUUGUUACCUUUUUGUUUUUGCUUAUUUUCAUUAUUAUUCACAUCCCCUUAGGUUGGUUCACUCAUACUGGACUCAUCAGCAUAUCAUACCAGAUCCAGAGGCCCUCUACCUCCUCCUCCUCCAAGCAACACAAAGGGCAAAGGAAAGACAAAGAUGGACGAAUUAAGUGGAAUCCCAAAGGAAAAUGUUGAGAACGCAGAGACUUCAGACGGCCGUAGUACCCCGGCCCCGAAUGACCUGGUUUUGAGACUGGAACAAAAUAUACUAGAACUACAAGGAGAAUUUGAGCAGGUCCGCAACUUGGCGAACAUGUCACUUACCCUCAAUGUCCCUUAUAUCUACCAACAAAACACAAAGAACCCAACACCUCCUCAGAACGCACAAAACCAACAGCCACAAAAUCCUACUGCACCAAAUCAAUACGCAACUCCACCCCAAAACAUCAAUCCGCUGCCAAUACUGACUCCACCAUAACAUCAUCAUCAACCAAUUCCAUACCCACCAAUCACUACUUACCACACUCCCCAAAACACACAACCCAUUCCCAAUCCCCAAAACUCCACCAAUGACCAUCACUACACCCAAGUUCCUAGCACCCAUCAAAGCAACCCCAUAUAUGUGAAAACUAUACCUCAUUCUACCCAACCAAUCUCCGAUACACCGGAAUCCUCCGAGAAAGACCUGCUCAUUAAAAACAUGGCCGAAGAACUCAAGAAGUUAACAAGCCGAGUUCAAGGUGUUGAAGGGAACAAAGGGAUAGAAGGUUUGAACUAUGAAGAUCUGUGCAUACAGCCGGAUGUCGAACUGCUAUAGGGGUACAAACAUCCCAAGUUCGAAAUGUUCGAUGGUACAGGUGAUCCCAGGGUUCAUCUAAGGACCUACUGUGACAAGCUUGCCGGGGUCGGGAAAGAUGAAAAGAUCUAGAUAAAGAUCUUUAUGAGGAGCCUUACUAGAGAUGCUUUGUCUUGGUAUAUCAGCCAGAAUCCUAAGAAAUGGGCUAAUUGGGUAAGCAUGGCAUUAGAGUUCAUGGACCGGUUCAGGUUUAACACAGAGAAUUCACCGGAUGUCUUCUACAUUCAGAAUCUUAAGAAGAAACCUACUGAGACUUUCCGUGAGUAUGCUUCUCGCUGGAGGUCGGAAGCGGCCAAGGUCAGGCCCUCUUUAGACGAAGAACAGAUGAAUAAAUUCUUCGUCAGGGCACAUGAUCCGCAAUAUUAUGAGAGAUUGAUGGUCAUCAAAAAUCACAAAUUCUCUGAUAUCAUCAAGCUCGGGGAAAGGAUCGAGGAAGGAAUCAAGAGCGGGAUGGUAGCGAAUUUUGAGGCACUAUAGGAUACAAAUAAGGCACUACAAUCAGGUGGUUGAUAAGUUGGUAUUUUACCAACUUAUCUUGUCUUUAAACCUAUACUUUUGCUAUGUUUGAAUGAUAAAAUUGUGUAUUUGAUAUCAUUUACUUCUAUUUUACAGGUUGUAUGUGAUUUAGAAGUAAUGGUGAAGAAACCAAGUGAAAACAAGUCAAAAAGGAGCAAAAAUGGAAAAAUGGACCACUGCUAGCCAUUACACUAUGCGAUCGCAGGGAACAGUAUGCGAUCACACAAGUUAACAAUAGCAAACAAUGAGAACGCAUGUAAAUAAGUGCGAUCGCGUAGAAGGAAGCCUGGUCAGCGGCUGGUCAACAAACUUGUGUGAACGCAAAAGACAUGACGCGAUCGCAUAACUGGGAGAAGUUAUUCUCUGCAAUAGCGUUUAAACUGUUGCGAACACAUUUAGUAAAUCCCGGGCAGUUUUGGGUAGUUUUGGAAUUUCACACAGUCGUCCCCCAAGCCAUUUAAUACACACCCUAGAAUAUCUUUUGGCAAAUCUUUGGCUUAUUUUCAGUUCUUAGGGCUUGAGAGAACAAGGUUGGAAAGUAGGGCUUUGCACACACACAUUGGUCUUGAAAAUUUGAAGCUUUUGGUUGAGAAUUUCUUACCCAUUUAUAUUGCUUUCUUCAUUUCCUUGCUUUGUAUUAUAUAUCUUAGUGUGUAGUAUUUUAUUCAACAGUUGAAUCUUGUUUAUGGAAACAUUCAUAUUUAAAGUGUGGAUUAAAUACCUUGUUGUGCUUAUGUAUUGAAUGAUUUUUAUGCUUUAUGAAGUAAGUUAUUGACACUUUAAUUAUGCUUGUUCUUUAAUGUUUCCAAUGGGAUUAGCUAACCCUAGAACUCGCCCAUUAACUCCGAAUUAAUUUUGGGAAAGAUAAUUUGGGGUUGGGAAAGAUUAAUUAAUAAGAACUUGAGGCUUUAACCCUCAUUUUAUAGAUUCUACCUAGGGAUAGGAUUGAACUACUUGUAGCCAUAUCCGGUUGUGCUUAGUCUCUUAAUUGGGUUAGGAAUAAUUCAAUUAGGAAGUCUUGUUAGUCUUCGGAAGAAGCUAAUUAAGAAUUAUUAUCCGUGGCUAAUUAACGUAAACUCGCUCAUAUUUNNNNNNNNNNNNNNNNNNNNNNNNNNNNNNNNNNNNNNNNNNNNNNNNNNNNNNNNNNNNNNNNNNNNNNNNNNNNNNNNNNNNNNNNNNNNNNNNNNNNNNNNNNNNNNNNNNNNNNNNNNNNNNNNNNNNNNNNNNNNNNNNNNNNNNNNNNNNNNNNNNNNCUAAACUAAUUCUAAGUGUUUGGCAUUGUGUGAUAAGUGAUAAUUCUCUUACAUUCCUAAUCACCUACAUAUUGUUCUCUGUAGGAUUCGACCCCGACUCAUAGUUGGGUAAAUUAUAUUGCAUGCGACCGUGUCCAUUUACUUUUUAGUAGUGUAUUUGGACGCCAUCAAAAUUGGCACCGUUGCCGGUGAACAAUUUGGCAUAAUUUAGGUUGUUUGAGAAAUAAGCGUAAGUGCGUUGGUCCAAACUUGUGAAUAUUUGUGUAAUUAAUUUUUUUUACCUUGGUCUAUUUUUCUUGUUUGUUUCUUGUUUAUUUUCUUAUUUUUGAAAAAUGGCAUCAUAUAAUGAAAAUUGGUCGGAUGGUAGUUGUUCAUACUUUGAAAAAUUAUUUAAAUUCUCCCGGGUGUAGAUUGUGCGCACAAUCUCAAACCCACGAGUGGAGUAUUUGUGAUAAGUGUGGUUUUCAAAAUGGUCAUUGUGAUGAUUGUGCUUAUUUGUCCUUCCCUUCCCCAAGCGCCCGCUAUGAUAAUUCUAUUUUUUUUUUAUGAAAAUGAUAGGGCUAUGGAAGUGGAAGAAGUUGAGCAUGGCCGAAAUGGAGAGUUCAAGGUCAUGUUAGAGUGCUUACUUGAAGGAGGAAACAAAGAGCAAAGUGCCUUGGAGGAGCUUUUGGAAAAUAGUCUCCAAAAUGACUUGGCACUUGAAAGGUUACACUCACAAAUGGGAGAAAUGCUUGAAGCUUUAGAGGUCCAAAAAGCCUCGAAAGUUAAUGAGAGCCAAGAAUUUUUCUUAGAUGUGGAAGCCGAAAAUCCUUCCUUGGCACUUGAUCAAAACCAAGAAGAACUCUCAAAUGCUCAAAAUGAGAAGAUGAUGCUCAUGUUGGAGGUCAUUCUUGAAAAUGAGGAGCACAACCUUGCACUCGAGGAUUUGAAACAAGGUUUGGCUUACUAUGAUGAACAUAUCUGCACUUUGGAAGAUCAAAUGAAAUUAUUGGUUGAGGCUCAUUAUGCCCACCAACUUGAGAGUGUGGAAGGAAGUCAAGAAGAGUCCGAUUUUUAGGAAGAAAGUGAGCUCUACUUUGAGGAAUCAAGAAUUAAACAUUCGCCAACCGACCCCAUAAGUGUUAGUGAUGCCAAGAAAAAUAUGGAACUAUAGUCAACCGGUGUAAAUGAAAAUUUGGUUGAGAUUGACUCUAGUUCGGGGGAAAAAGAGGAUGUCAAAAUCCGAGAAAAAUUGCAAGUUGGAGAUUUAAAGUCACAUUCCAAGCAUUUUUCAACAUUGGAAUUGUGUGGUGAUAUGGAAGUUGAACUACACGAAUCAAUAAAGAACUGCGAGAAGGAAAAAUCCAUACCAUACAUCCUACAAUUUGAGGGAACAAGAAAGCAAAAUGACAUUCCUCACAUGAGAGCCAAGAAGUGCAAAAUGAAGAAUUUAAAGCUUGGCUUGAUCAUCAACUUACCACCCCCCAUCGCUUGUGGUCACAAGCUUGAUUCCAAGCUAGGUGCCCAGUUCAUAUCAUCCAAGUGGCGAGAAAAGUGGUAAAGUUGAUUUGUGUCGUGCCACGACGUUAAUACGGUGCUUGGUGGGAGGCAACCCAUCGGUUUUUCAAAAAAUUUAGUCAUUUUUAAAAUUUUCUUUUUUUAAAUAGCUUAGAAUAUUAUUUGUAACUAAUCUGCCAAGUUUUAGAUUUUUUGGAGUUGAUUUGGGCAGGUCGGGGUGACCGGGAAACCAAAAACCAGUAGCUUGUGCAAAAUUGCAGUGCAGCACACUGUUGCACUAUGAUCGCAUUUCAAUAGGUCGUAGAUCCACUAUGCGAUCACAUAGUUUCCAAAGCUAUCGCAAAAUUUCAGGAUUUUUGCACUAUGCGAUCGCAAUUGUGCCUCCGCGAUUGCAUAGCUCCAAGUAAGUGAAAAAUAAUUAAAACACUGGAAAUGGCUCUUUGCUUACUAUUCUGCCCAAAACGAACUCCCUCACCCCUGUGCCUCUAAAAUCAUCUCAAGGUUUUCCUCUCUUCAAUUCCAUCUCAAUACUCAAGUGUAAUCUCAAAGGUAUGUGCUUCGUUACUCUAAUCUCUCUUAAAAUCCAUUCUUGGUGCUCCAAAGGGUAAUGAACAGUCAUUUUCUCUACUUCAUGUCUAGGGCUGAAAUUUUAGAGUAUUGGUUGUAAAUAUUGUGCUUGAAUGUGUGCUUGCUUGCUGGGUAAAGUUGGUUGAGAGAGUGAGUUCUUAAUUGUUGAAAAAUUUGGGGUUAGAUCUGUGUAUAAUCUCUCUGAAAUUGCUACGAAAAGCUGAUGCCCAUCAUGUGUUUGGGAAAAUGCCCAAAAGAGCUUUAACUGGGCGAGGCAGGAGACCUUAUGCGAUCACGUUGACUGUUCUGCGAUCGCAUAGGUCUAAUUGUGCACUGUGGAAAAAAUGCCUUAUGUGAUCGCGUUGAAUAUUCCGCGAUCGCAGAGCUUUAAUUUCUGAAAACUAAAAUUUCUCUUUGCGAUCGCAUGUCUCUAUCUGCAAUCGCAUAGCUUCAGCUUCAGCAGUCCAAAACAGUAGCUCUGCAGAAUUUUUCCCUGAUGCUUUCUGAUCUUUUUCUUUGGCCUAAGUGCAUCAUAAUAUAGUGUAUAAAGUACUCGUUCAUGCGUUUAACAUUUGGUCUCCAUUUGUAGGUACUUUGUGCAUAAAAUGGCCUCAGAAAAUGUUGAAAAUGUGCAAGAAUAUGUUCCCCCAGCUAUGGAAGAAGAGUAUUUUGAUGCGACGAGAUUCAUGGUGGCUGAGUGUGAAAGGAAUUUUGACAAACUCAUGUCAAAGAGCAUUGUCAAAGAACAGGGCAUCCAUUUGGACAACGUUGAGGCUAAGAUGCCGGAUUUUUUCCAAAGACUAACUGACAGUGGAUGGAUAUGCUUUGCUCCUGAACCAAUCAAAGCGAACUACACAAUGGUUCGAGAGUUUUACGCCAACGCCUUGAAGACUAAUUUCUAGGGGGAUGUAUUAACUUUUGUCAGAGGCAAGUUGGUUGACUUUGGCCCCGAGGUAAUAAAUGCACACUACGGGCUUCCUAAUGCUGACAAUAAGAUAUACAGAGCCAGAGGAAGAGAGAGAGAAACCAAGUGGUUGGUAGAAAAGCUUCAUGACGGAGUGCAACCGACUUGGGAAAGAAUACACAAAGGGGUUGAUUCAUAUGAUUUCACUGUGGAGGCCAAGCUUUGGCUAUCUAUUAUCUAUGCCAGGAUUGUGCCAUCUAGAAAUGAAAUUGAAGUGACGCCUUGGACGGCAUUGAUGAUUGCGGGCAUUAUGGAUGGCUUGCCAGUGAACUUGGGCCAGCACAUCAUAAGUGAAACUGAGGAAGCAUGCAAUGGCAGGUCUAGAAGCCUAUUCUUUCCCUUAUUAAUCACUCAGUUGUGCUAUGCUGCUGAUGUGCUACCGAGCCUGACUGAUGUUGAGAAGGAACCUAUUGUAGCAAUCUUUCCAUUACCUCGAAAAGGGCCAACUGACAAGAAGAAGAAGAGAAGGAUUGAUGUGAUAUCUCCUUCAUUUAGGUAGUUUAAUGAGUCCGCCGAGGGAUCCGGUGGUGCCCCCACAGCUACAACAGAAACACAUAACCCCAUGGUUCCACUUUCUUAUGGACCCCCCACUAUGCGCCACAUUUCGCAUCAGAUCUAUGGUGUUGAUGCUCAUAUUUGACAGCUUGUCGCGGGUCUUCCCUCUGGUCCAUCUUGUGAGGGCACUUUGACUAGGUCUAGGAAGAAGCCAGCGACCUUGGAUGAUGUAGUGCUGGAGCAAAAGGCAAUCAAAACCAGGUUAGAAGACAUGAGUAGGAGAUAAGGAAAAGUUGAAAGGCGACAAGUCAAGUUCAAGGAGCAUGAGAAGAAGAAAAACAAGUUUCUAUCGAGGAUGAUGCACAAGCUGAGUUCACUAUGUGGCUCACAGGAUUCUGAGGAUGAUGAUGAUGAGGAUUUGGAGCUCAAAUUUCCCACCACCUCCAGCUCCGAGUGAUGCAGUAUUCAGGGAGCACUUUCCACCAUUUUACUCUAUCAUGUUUAGUUACAUUGGGGACAUUGCAACAUCUUUAGUUAGGGGUGGCUUCUUGUAUAAUUGUUAUUCUUGUAUAAUUGUGGAUAACUGUGGGUAUGGCAGAUUGGUACUGUGGUUGUUUUCAUUUUGUUGUUAGUAUAUUUUCAUGUGAUGUGUGAUAUUAUUAUAUUUAGUAGCUUCUUAAUUUUUUUUUGUUUUUGUUUUUAUAUAUCUUAUGUUUUAGUUACUUGAUGUUUAUCAGCUUCUUAAUUUUUUGGCAGAAUGGCCUAAAUGACACUUAUACUUGUGUCACAUUGUCAUGUCGGUCCUUCUACUUUACUUUUUUUCAUCCAGACACUUUAACUUGUUCAAACUUUAUAUUUUAAACCCCUCUAACCAUGUGUGUAUCUCACUUGCUUGACGUGGAUGACACAUCAUAUUCCACGUCAUUUUUUAUAUUUUAUCUACUAAAAACACUUAUUAUAUACUAUUUCCUUAAAGAAAAAGGAAAAUCAAUGCCUCCAUCUCAUCUCUCUUCCCUAAAAUUUACAUAUUUCUUCUUCCUAGCAGGGGGACUCCAUAUCAUAGUUAUCACUUGCACUCAAUGAUAUCUCAAUAAUUAAGCGGUGCACAAGCUGAAUUUAACAUGAACCUUGAUUUAGGAAGACAAACAGUUCAAGAAAGUGGAAGGGAAAGUGUCAGCAUCUUAAAAAGUCAGCAAAGGAAACAGAGAAAUGUUGCAAACGAAUAACUAGUAAUAUUUGGUUAUAAAUGAAACAAAGGAGAAAAGCUUUUUAAUUAUGAAUUAGUGUAGUUGUUUAUUUCAUGAAUUGUUAUUGUAAACUGAGAAAAGGAUAUAAUUAUAGCUCAACAAAGCAACAAAUAGAUCUGGGGGGGUGGGGGGAAUCGGGGCAGUAGAGAAAGAAGAAGCGUACGGGGAGGGGAACAAAAAAGGGAGGGAGUGUUGUUGGGGGGAGGGGGCAGUGGAGAAGAAGAAGAAGAAGAGAGAAGAAGAAGAAGNNNNNNNNNNNNNNNNNNNNNNNNNNNNNNNNNNNNNNNNNNNNNNNNNNNNNNNNNNNNNNNNNNNNNNNNNNNNNNNNNNNNNNNNNNNNNNNNNNNNNNNNNNNNNNNNNNNNNNNNNNNNNNNNNNNNNNNNNNNNNNNNNNNNNNNNNNNNNNNNNNNNNNNNNNNNNNNNNNNNNNNNNNNNNNNNNNNNNNNNNNNNNNNNNNNNNNNNNNNNNNNNNNNNNNNNNNNNNNNNNNNNNNNNNNNNNNNNNNNNNNNNNNNNNNNNNNNNNNNNNNNNNNNNNNNNNNNNNNNNNNNNNNNNNNNNNNNNNNNNNNNNNNNNNNNNNNNNNNNNNNNNNNNNNNNNNNNNNNNNNNNNNNNNNNNNNNNNNNNNNNNNNNNNNNNNNNNNNNNNNNNNNNNNNNNNNNNNNNNNNNNNNNNNNNNNNNNNNNNNNNNNNNNNNNNNNNNNNNNNNNNNNNNNNNNNNNNNNNNNNNNNNNNNNNNNNNNNNNNNNNNNNNNNNNNNNNNNNNNNNNNNNNNNNNNNNNNNNNNNNNNNNNNNNNNNNNNNNNNNNNNNNNNNNNNNNNNNNNNNNNNNNNNNNNNNNNNNNNNNNNNNNNNNNNNNNNNNNNNNNNNNNNNNNNNNNNNNNNNNNNNNNNNNNNNNNNNNNNNNNNNNNNNNNNNNNNNNNNNNNNNNNNNNNNNNNNNNNNNNNNNNNNNNNNNNNNNNNNNNNNNNNNNNNNNNNNNNNNNNNNNNNNNNNNNNNNNNNNNNNNNNNNNNNNNNNNNNNNNNNNNNNNNNNNNNNNNNNNNNNNNNNNNNNNNNNNNNNNNNNNNNNNNNNNNNNNNNNNNNNNNNNNNNNNNNNNNNNNNNNNNNNNNNNNNNNNNNNNNNNNNNNNNNNNNNNNNNNNNNNNNNNNNNNNNNNNNNNNNNNNNNNNNNNNNNNNNNNNNNNNNNNNNNNNNNNNNNNNNNNNNNNNNNNNNNNNNNNNNNNNNNNNNNNNNNNNNNNNNNNNNNNNNNNNNNNNNNNNNNNNNNNNNNNNNNNNNNNNNNNNNNNNNNNNNNNNNNNNNNNNNNNNNNNNNNNNNNNNNNNNNNNNNNNNNNNNNNNNNNNNNNNNNNNNNNNNNNNNNNNNNNNNNNNNNNNNNNNNNNNNNNNNNNNNNNNNNNNNNNNNNNNNNNNNNNNNNNNNNNNNNNNNNNNNNNNNNNNNNNNNNNNNNNNNNNNNNNNNNNNNNNNNNNNNNNNNNNNNNNNNNNNNNNNNNNNNNNNNNNNNNNNNNNNNNNNNNNNNNNNNNNNNNNNNNNNNNNNNNNNNNNNNNNNNNNNNNNNNNNNNNNNNNNNNNNNNNNNNNNNNNNNNNNNNNNNNNNNNNNNNNNNNNNNNNNNNNNNNNNNNNNNNNNNNNNNNNNNNNNNNNNNNNNNNNNNNNNNNNNNNNNNNNNNNNNNNNNNNNNNNNNNNNNNNNNNNNNNNNNNNNNNNNUCAUAGACUAACUUGGUUUGAAAAAUGAUAUUAGGCCUUCCUUGGACCGCCAUUGUGCCUUAAAUUUCCUACCCUUGAAUUUUUUCCCUAGUCAACCCAUUUUGAGCCUUUAACCUUGUUCUUUGGCAACCAUGUUAUAAAAUUUAUGCCUUUGUUCUUUAUUGAUCUAGCUUUUGGUACCCUACCUCCCUAAGUACUUGAAAGUGUAAACAUAGGCUAAAAGCCUAAGUUUGGGGUGAAAGUUGGAAAAGUUGUGAUAUGAAAGUUGUUCAAAAGGUGGAAGGUAGAAAAAAAAUGAUAGAAAGUGAAGUCUUCCUUGAUUUGAAAAGGAAGGAAGAAAAAAAAUAAAAAUAAUAAGAAGAAGUUGUGAAUAAUGGGAAGAUUAGGUGUGGAAUGAAAAGUAAAGAAAGGAUGGAAAAUGUUUGUGAAGGAAGUGGACUUUAAUUGUAAACUUUGUAGUGCUUGGGGAGGUUUUGAGUCACUCUAACCAAAAUCGUGCCCUACUUUAACCAAAAGCUUAAACUACAACCCUUAAGUCCUAAUUGAUUUUGAACCAAGUUGUCUACAUUAGUGGAGGAAUACAUGAAGAGCAAGCCUAUAGUACUACUUGUAUGCAUUUGAACAUCUUUUUGAGAGAGAGUUAAUUCUUUCCAUUUGAUAUCCCAUUUGUGUUUUGAAUUAAGCUUUAUGAGUGUGGGAUCCUCUCUUAAAUGUGAGGGCACAUGAGAUUUGAGUUGUGAAUUUAAUCUCAAUCUUCAAUUGGAAGGACUGACCAAAGAAAGUUGAUUGUGAUAGAGAGGCAAAUUUUGAAGCUUUAGUGUCAUGACUUGAUUGCUACUUUGAUUUGCAUUAGUGUUUGAGCACUUAAAGUAUAAUGAAGUUCAUGAGAAGUUCUUGAUAAUUCAUAUUCUUUGGAGUAAUUAUUGGUACCAAUCGAAGUCAUGUUUUUGUGCUUAUAGUAGCCUUUUUCGCUUGGCAUGAUAUGGAUGCAUUGUUGAGUUAACUACUUGGGAGGAGAUUUUGUCGCCUUCAUUCCUUGAGGACAAGCAAUAGUUUAAGUUUGGGGGUUUGAUAAGUUGGUAUUUUACCAACUUAUUUGUCUUUACACCUAUACUUUUGCUAUGUUUGAAUGAUAAAAUCGUGUAUUUGAUUUACUUCUAUUUUACAGGUUGUAUGUGAUUUAGAAGUAAUGGUGAAGAAACCAAGUGAAAACAAGUCAAAAAGGAGCUAAAAUGGAAAAAUGGACCACUGCCAGUGAUUACACUAUGCGAUCGCAGGGAAUAGUAUUCGAUCACACAAGUUAACAAUAUCAAACAACGUGAACGCAUGUAAAUAAGUGUGAUCACGUAGAAGGAAGCCUGGUCAGAGGUUGGUCAACAGACUUGUGCGAACGCAGAAAACCAUAUGUGAUCACAUAACUGGGAGAAGUUAUUCUCUGCGAUCGCGUUUGAACUGUUGCGAACACAUUUAGUAAAUCCUGGGCAGUUUUGGAAUUUCACAUAGUCGUCCCCCAAGCCAUUUAAUACACACCCUAGCAUAUAUUUUGGCAAAUCUUUGGCUUAUUUUCAGUUCUUAGGGCUUGAGAGAACAAGGUUGGAAGGAAGGGCUUUGCACACACACUUUGGUCUUGAAGAUUUGAAGCUUUUGGUUGAGAAUUUCUUACCCAUUUAUGUUGCUUUCUUCAUUUCCUUGCUUUGUAUUAUAUAUCUAAGUGUGUAGUAUUUUAUUCAACACUUGAAUCUUAUUUAUGGAAAUAUUCAUGUUUAAAGUGUGGAUUAAAUACCUUGUUGUGCUUAUGUAUUGAAUGAUUUUAUGCUUUUAUGAAGUGAAUUUUUGUUAUUUUAAUUUUUCUUGUUCUUUAAUAUUUCCAAAGGGAUUAGCUAACCCUAGGGAUCGCCCAUUAACUCCGAAUUAAUUUUGGGAAAGAUAAUUUGGGGUUAGGAAAGAUUAAUUAACAAGAACUUAAGGCUUUAACCCUCAAUUUAUAGAUUCUACCUAGGGAUAGGAUUGAAUUACUUGUAGCCAUAUCCGGUUGUGCUUAGUCUCUUAAUUGGGUUAGGAAUAAUUCAAUUAGGAAGUCUUGUUAGUGUUCGGAAGAAGCUAAUUAAGAAUUAUUAUCUGUGGCUAAUUAACGUAAACUCGCUCAUAUUUGUAAAAUCGUGAAAUAUAUUGGAUCGUUACUUGAGUGUAAUUUCCGAUGCAUCCACACUUGUAGUCAUUGAUCAUUUUACUUUCUUUCUAGGUUAGUUUACAUUUUCGCAUUUAGGUAUAAAACAUUUUCUAAACCAAUAAGUGUUUGACAUUGCACGAUAAGUGAUAAUUCUCUUACAUUUCUAAUCGCCUAUAUAUUGUUCUCUGUGGGAUUCGACCCCGACUCAUAGUUGGGUAAAUUAUAUUGCAUGCGACCGUGUCCAUUUACUUUUUAGUAGUGGAUUUGGACGUCAUCAGUGGCAUGUCAAAGAAGAGAGAUGUUGGGGCAGUAACGGUGGCUCAGGGCCCAAAAUCUCCACUUACAUAUCAAACACCUCCUCCCAUAUACCAAACACAUCCACCGACAUACCAAACACAUCCACCCACAUAUCAAACACCCCCACCCACAUACCUAGCAUCACCGCCUACAUAUCAGCCCUCAUCUCCCAGAUAUUCCCAGCCAGACAUUGUCCAUUACACAUAUAAUUCUCAACCAUCCCACUUCCAAUCACCAUUAGCUCGCCAAAAUUAUCCAAGACCAAGACCCAACUUCGACCACAAGCCACCCAGGCAAUACACCACCAUUGCUGAGCCCAUCGACCAACUGUAUGAAAUGUUGAAAGCCGCAGGUUACGUCACUCUUGUUCCCACUGUGGCACUAGAAAAUCCAUCCCAAUGGGUCAAUCCGAACAAACUUGUGCAUUCCAUUCCGGUAUGGAAUGUCACACCACUGCUGAGUGCUGAACAUUGAAGGAUAAGAUCCAAACGCUCAUUGUAAACAAGGUCAUACAAGCAAAGGAAGCCGCACCUAAUGUUCGCAACAAUCCCCUCCCUGAUCACAGAGGUGAUGGUGUACAUGUGAUAGUGACAAAUGAAGAAUGGGACCCCGAGGGGUCGAUCGGACUCAUUCGAGAAGGCGAUGACUUUAAGGAUGUAGUCAUACUUACUCCUAUUGUGGUUCAGACUCAGGCACCAAUUGAUGUUGAGGUAACUGCAUCAGUUCCAUUUGACGUUAAAGUGGCUCCACCCGCAGCCACCUCCGCUCCGUUUGAAGUAGAAGUGGUCAUACCUUUUAUUGUGACAGUAUCAACUACACCCCCAUUCAACUCAAAAGUAAUACCCUGGGAUUAUGUUGCCGAGGCUUGGCAAAAAGGGAAGGCCAAGAUAGAGGAAUCUAGCGUUGCACAAGGAAUGACUAGAACCGGAAGAGUUUAUACACCUGAACACCUGGGAGGUUCAAGUAAGGAGGCCACUACUAGGCAGCCUAUCAUUGAGACCGGGCUAGAUGACCUAUGGAGGAAAGUAAAUGCAAAGGAAUAUUCUGUUAUUGACCAUCUGAACAAAGUCCCUGCUCAGAUAUCUAUCCUGUCACUAUUGCAGAAUUCAGAAGCACACAAGAACGCCUUGAUAAAAGUAUUGAGCGAGGCUUAUGUACCCAAUAACAUCACUGGUGGAGAAAUGACCAACAUGGUCGGUCAAGUAUUGGAGAUCCAUAAGAUUAUCUUCCACGAAGAUGAGCUACCACCCGAAGGUUUGAAUCACAAUCGAGCACUACAUAUCACAGUACAAUUUGAAGACAAGUUCAUUGCCAGGGUCUUGGUUGAUGGAGUUUCGAGCCUAAAUAUUUGUCCAUUGGACACCCUAAAAAGGUUGGACAAAGGUUUCCAUGAGAUACGGGCAGGAAGCAUGAAUGUGAAGGCUUUCGAUGGGUCCCAAAAGGCCACGAUCAGAGAAAUCAACCUUUGCUUGAAGAUGGGGCCAACCUGGUUCGACGUUGAAUUCCAAGUGCUUGACAUACCGGCCUCAUACAAUCUUCUGUUGGGCCGACCAUGGAUCCAUGUUGCUAGAACCGUGCCUUCCACACUACAUCAAGCCGUGAAAUUUGAAUGGAAUCAUAAGGAGGUGAUCAUCCACGGAGAUGGGAGUAACCCCAUCUACACUAGUCAAACCAUCCUGGUCAUUGGACAUAGAGAAGGCUAGGAGGGAAACCUAUCAUCACAUUGAACGGGUCAAUGCCGUCGAGAAGGAUAAGUGGUGGAGUAACAAAAUAGAAAGCAUACUGGCAUGGUCCAGAUAUGAACCCGACAAAAGGUUGGGAAAAAACCUCCAAGGUAUCACCAAGCCAAUACAGCUGAAAAAUCAUGGUACCACUUUUGGGCUCGGAUACCAUUACACAUGGAAAGAGUACGAGGAGUGGUCGCCUCCAUGGCAUGGACCAUAUUACCCUCUUGAGCAGCCAGUGCCCCGUUUAGAACAAUCUUUCCACCAGGCCGACACAAUAUGGGGGACUGCGGAAGAAGAAGCACUAGCCAGGUUGAAGAAUUUGUUCUUGGAAGAUGAGGACAUGGACUGCGGUGCCAUAAUUGAGGAGAAGGAGGAAGAAGGCCUCACUAUUCAGACUGUAGCGAAGGGAGUUGUUCUCAGAAACUGGAGCGCCACACCAUCCCGAGCCCGCCAAUUCCCUGGGUAGCUUGGCAGGAUUUACCUCUAUAGUCGUUUUAGGCAUUUAAAAUUUCCUGUAGUUUCAUUUUAAUCUUUACUUGUUUCAAAAUAAAUGCUCGAUUCAUCGAGCCGUGCUUUGUCUGAACAAUUUCUCAAGUUUUAAUCAUAUGCAUUUGAUCUUUAUUAUUCACUACUAUAUUUACACUUUUUCUUUCCACAACGCUAUUAUUACUUUUCCUGGUGAACCAGUGACUGUGACAUGUAAUGAGGCAACGCAAUAUGAGAACAGUGAUUUAGAGGAAGAAGCCGAUGGAAAGCCUUGGUUCCAUGACAUCAAGGAGUACUUAUCAAAAGGAGAAUACCCGGAGCAUGCAAACUACACUCAGAAACGCACACUUCGGAGAUUGUCCAAUCACUUCUUCCAUAGUGGAGGAAACCUGUAUAGAAGAACCCCCGAUCUGGGAUUGCUAAGAUGUGUCAACGCGAAGGAAGGUACUUGAGGAUGUGCAUGCUGGGACAUGUGGUCCGCACAUGAAUGGUUUCAUCUUGGCCAAGAAGAUACUCAGGGCAGGUUACUUUUGGAUGACUAUGGAUACAGAUUGCAUUCAGUAUGUCCGAAAAUGCUUUCAAUGUCAAGUACAUGUUGUUAUGAUAAAAGUGCCGCCAAUAGAGCUCAAUGCAACAAGCUCACCUUGGCCAUUCGCUGGUUGGGGAAUGGAUGUUAUUGGUUCGAUUGAGCCCACGGCUUCAAACGGACACAGGUUCAUUCUGGUAGCCAUUGAUUACUUCACAAAAUGGGUAGAGGCUGCAUCUUACAAAGCUGUAACCAAGAAAGUCGUCGCAGAUUUUGUCAAGGAUCAUAUUGUCUACCGAUUCGGAGUUCCCGAGUCCCUUAUUACCGACAAUGCCGCCAAUCUCAAUAGUCUAUGUGUGGAAAUUUCAAAAUCAAGCACAACAAUUCUACAACCUACAGACCUCAGAUGAAUGGAGCCAUAGAAGCCGCCAACAAAAACAUUAAAAAUAUAUUAAGAAAAUGGUAGAAAACCACAAGCAAUAGCAUGAGAAGUUACCCUUUGCUCUAUUAGGAUACCGCACUACGGUUCGCACAUCAACCGGGGCAACUCCCUACAUGUUGGUCUAUGGUACCGAGGCUGUCAUCCCAGCCGAGGUGGAAAUUCUUUCUUUAAGAGUCAUACAGUAAGCUGAACUCAGCGAUGCGGAGUGGAUAAGGAGUCACUAUGAACAAUUGUCCCUUAUCGAUGGAAAGAGAAUGAAGGCAGUGUGUCACAGCCAACUUUAUUAGAACAGAAUGUCCAGAACUUUCAAUAAAAAGGUCAAACCAAGACAGUUCGCACCAGGGCAGCUGGUAUUGAAGAAACUCUUCCCACAUUAAGAUGAAGCCAAAGGGAAAUUCUCUCCCAACUGGCAAGGUCCAUACAUGGUUCACAGGGUACUAACAGGAGGAGCAUUCAUACUUGCAGAAAUGGAUGAAGGAAUUUGGCCAAAACCAAUUAAUUCAGACGCAGUCAAGAGAUACUAUGCCUAAAUUACUUUACAUUUCCUCAUCUGAUGUAAUUGAACUACGCUUGAUCUGAUUCCUAGUUAAGAGGGGAUACGUAGGCAGCCUUAUGGGUUCGGUCAUAUUAUAAUAAAAUUUUCAUUUCCCCCAAAAUCAGAAACUGGGGCAGAAUUUUAAGGAGGGUCCUCAAAAUUCUGGAGCAAGUCCAUCCAGUGCCAUCGCAUGCCAAGAAGUCAGUAAUCAGUUAAGAACUGGGGUAGAAUUUUGAGAAGGAUUCUCAAAAUUUUGGAGAAGGUUCAGCAGGGUCCAUCAUUCACAAACAGUCAAAGAUCAUCUACCAAACUGGGGCAGAAUUUUGAGGAGGACCCAAAAUUCCAUAAGAGAGUUGCAACGUCUUUGAGAUGUGUCACAGUCACUAGUUCAUCAAAAUUACUUGAUAUAUCAAUUCGUUUCUAAAACAACUCUAUUUUUUUAAAUAUUACAUAUUUUUGAAAACUUUAUUUCUUUAAUAGUCAGGUGUCGCCCAGGGGAACUCGAAAGGCUUUCAGAGCGAAGCAGAGCAAGGCUGGUAGACGAAGCAAGAACCAACCUCCCCUCACAAAACUUACAAUAGCCCUCGCAAAACAUAUUUGACGUAACGAUAGCACUCGCAAAACAUGUGUACACAAAGAUAAUUCACUAUCUAUCAGGCCAUCAAACAUCGAAUACAUCUCCAGCUAAGAAAUACACUACUCUUACCUACUAUUCGCUCUUUCCAUGGGACUAAUCCCUGUCCCCCCACACUUGCAUGAGGCUAAUCCUUGCCUCCCUACUUGCAUGAGUCUAAUCCUUGACUCCAUACUGCAUGAGCUAAUCCUUGCCUCCCUAUUUGCAUGAGUUUAAUCCCUGACUCCAUGAGGCUAAUCCCUACCUCCAUACUUGCAUGAGUCUAAUCCUUUACUCCAUAUUUGCAUGAGGCUAAUCCUUGCCUCCAUACCUGCAUGAAGCUAAUCCUUCCCUCUAUAUUCGUAUUGGACUAAGCACUGUCCCUUUUUGCACUGAUAUUGCUCUAUUUUACUAUCUAUUUGUUUUCCAAUUGGGCUAAGCUCUGCCCUCCAUUUCACAAGACUAAUCAUUGUCUUGAUAACAUCAUGACUAUUGUAUAUUAUAGGCUGAAAUAUCGCCAAAUCUAUCCGAAGGCGUCAUAGUCUAAAGGCAUCAUCCUCAUAGCCGGAAGACACCAUGUCAUGGCCUGAGGACCCCUCAAACUUGCAUAUCAUUAUUCAAAGGUGUCAUGGUUCGGAGGCACCAUCUUCAUGGCCCGAGAACAUCAUUUCACGGCAUGCGAAUCACUCACUAAAAAAUUCAUGGCCUAGGACAUCAUGGUCUAAGGAUGCCAUCUUUAACCGUCCAAAGAUAACCUUCAUGGUCCAAAGGGAAUUUGCAUCAUGUUUAGGUUUUCGCAAAUACAUGUUUGUAGCAUCUUUUGUCUACAGGUAACCAGUAAGAAACCGUUGUCUUAGCAGGAGCAAUCUCGCUCCAGUUCCCUCCAACCAUCCCGAGCUUUAACCGCUCACCAUAGCCACUUCCGCAUCACGUGUCCGUUCUUGCAGUAAUUUCAUCGGCAUACUCCGCGGAUGAAUCCAGAACUACACAUGGCCUGAUUCCUGUAAAACCAGGUAUAUGUACGCAACUCGAAGACCAAAGUUCGACCUCUGUCUUUCAAAGCAUCCCAUCCGGUCAAAAUUGGCCAUCAUUUCUUUACCCGAAAACUCUUUCAUCCUUCCCGGGUAAAAAGGGGCAGUUGUUGAUACCCAAUUUUUUCCUAUAUUUUUAUAUAUGCAUAAAUACCUUCAAAAUAGCAUGUAUAUAUGCAUAUAUAAGCAUGUACAAGGUUUUUAUAAUUCUUCCCAUAAUUUUAAGGAUUUAAACUGAUUUAUUUCCUUCCCUUUUAUUCAUAAAAUCCCCAAUAAUUAUCCCCCAAAUUAUUGUUGUGAUAAUUUAGUCAUUUAAUUUCUAUAUUUAUGCCAAAAUAUGGUUAAAAUAUUUUUUAUGNNNNNNNNNNNNNNNNNNNNNNNNNNNNNNNNNNNNNNNNNNNNNNNNNNNNNNNNNNNNNNNNNNNNNNNNNNNNNNNNNNNNNNNNNNNNNNNNNNNNNNNNNNNNNNNNNNNNNNNNNNNNNNNNNNCAUUUUUAUAAUUGCAUUUGGUAUUUUUAAAACUAAAUUGCAUAUAAUUGCAAUAUUAGCCCAUUCAAUGUAUAAUUACAUUUAUAUGCGUAAAAUUGACCUUCUAUAUUUUUAAAAUGUUAAAUACCUAUUUUAAAUCAUUUUGGUACAUAAAAUUAUUUUACAAAAAUUAUUUAUUAUUUAUUACAAAUUAUAUGGGGAAAAUCGGCUAUUUAAAACAUAGUCAGAUUUACAUUUCAAUUAUAGACCAAAUUAAACCCAACCCCAGCCCAAUUUCUAACCAAACUACCCGACCAGACCCUUCCUUUUUUUAUCCCAAACGACCCCUAACCCUAGCCCAUAACUCAGAGACUGCCGCCUCUAUAUUCUCUCAUCUCCUCUCUUCUCUCAACCACCCAACCUAACCCUAGCUCAUUUCAACUGCCUACUUUCUUCUCCGGUCUUCUCCCUUUAACUCCUAAGCCUCCAAUGGCUCAUCUAUUGCCAUGCUCAUCUUCUCUGAGGCCUUCAAGGGCCCUAGGCCAUGCCGGCUUGUAUCUAGGGUUUGCUGUUUGGCUGUUCUUGGCUACUCCGGUGUGAUUUCAAGCAAAAUCACACUAUAUUUGUUACGAUCUUUGGGUUUCUAAAUAGGUUCUUUCAUCUCUACUUGGGUUUCUUUUGAAACCCUAAUUUUUGCUUACAUCUCCUAGAUUUGUACGAUUUUUAAAUGAUUUGAGUCUGUUCCUUUGAUGUUUUACACUGUUCUUGAAUCUCUUUUACAGGAAUCAUCGAUUUCAAGUUGUUUUCACCUUCUUCUAAAAUUAGGGUUUUCGGAACUUCUUCUAAAACUUUGUUUAAACUAAUUCUUUAUGUUUAAACUUCUAUUUCUUGCAUAUUUCGACUGAUUCUAUGUUUUUAUGCUUUUUCAACUCGCAUAUGUUAAAAGCCCUAAUUUUUUCCAGAUUUUCUUUGUUUGAUUCUGUGUGUUAGCAUGACUACUCGAUUCUUGUUUAAGUUUUUGUGGUUACCUGUCCUUGAAUAUGUUCUUCCUGAGUUCUUAGCCUAACUUAUACUACCUCUAUNNNNNNNNNNNNNNNNNNNNNNNNNGGUUGCUCUUACUCUAUUUAUAUGCUGAGUAUUGAAUCAUGACUUCCUUAUUUCAUGGUUUGAUUGAAAGAUCUUCCUUUAAACCCUAAAUGUUUGCCUCGUCUGUUCAAAUUAACUGAUUUACCUACCUUGUUUGUUGUGGUACUUUAUUCUUACUGAACUGUUUCCUUAAUGGAAGUUUUCUGAACUUAGCCCUAAUUGUCUACCCUAUACUUACUAAAUUUGAAUCUUUCUUUAUUAGUUAUACACUGAUUUCUUUCCUUAUUUAUCAGUUGUUCUUACCAUUUGAGUUAAUUCCCUUAAUUAAAGGGAGUACUUACCUUGAUUUCAUGACUGAUUGAUUCCGAGUUCCGUAAUUACUGAUGAACUUUGAUUUUUACCUUAUUUGAUAUCUUCUUUCAAACUAUAUAUACUCACUCUCUUUCAUUAACACAACACGAACACUCUUGGUUCAAAACUCUUUCUCUCUCACACACACUUAAAACGUUUUGCUCCAUUUUUGUGCUACUUGCUACAACUCUAAGUUAGUCGGCUGCAACCCAAGGCUAACCAUUGUGUUCUCCUGCUCUUUCACUUUUCUUACUAUCUUCUUUACUGGUAUGUUCUUGUUUCAAUUCAAAGUUCCAACAACAAUAUGAUUCUUUUACUGCUUCAGUUCAUUCUGUUUCUAGUUUGCUUCUAUCUAUGGUUUUACUGUGAAACUUGUAGUUGAUAUGUUAUUAGCAUGUUAUGUACAUCCCUUCUGUAGGAUCAGUGUAUGACCCCUCUCUAUUGUUUCUGAGCAUGUCUAUACCAACUAUCUUUACCUGUUAUGUGCUUACCAUCAUAUGCUCCAUGUAUCCCCAAAUCCCUUGACCCAUGUUUGUGACGACUGAACUUGUUUUGGUUCUAUGACUCCUGGCUGUGUAUGAACCUGUCUUAAAGGUGUUGUACUGUUGUUCACUACUUCAAUCUCUUUUCAAACUGUAUCUGUUGUUUUUUACUAAAUUAUUUUCAAACAAACUUCCUUUUAAUACAGUUUUUCCACUAAAACUUUUCAACUUGUGUCAAGCACUUUUACUCUACUCCUAAAUCAAUAAGUUCUGCCCCCUCCAGUAUACGUACUGCCUUGGGAUCCUCUUGAGAACCCUCUAAACUUUGGCAUGCUGAGGUUGGCCUUACCUUACUGCACUUAUUCAAUUUUGGUUACCAAGUCUAGGUGUAAGCACUACCGGGGAUCCUUGAGAUCCUUAGGGAACUUUAAUGCACCUAGACUAUGAUUUUGUCUAUGGAAUUGAGUCAUUUCAGGCUAUUAGAGGCUUUGGAAACCUGGGCCUAAUUGAAGGCUCCCUAUAGAAUAACUUCUUAUUUUCUUAUUUACUUAUGUAAUUUAUUCAUAUGGCCUGUAAUAACUUGUAAACAAAUAUUGGGGUAAUUAGUGAAAGGUAUGGAUAGCUACAUGUUUAUGGGGUAAUACGGGUAGAAAUCAUGCUUAUAGGACUUUACAUUCUAAUCUGAUUGCCUUAUCAAGUAGAAAUCAUGCUCAUAGGACUUUACAUCUCAUCAUGUUUAUAUCACCAUGUUAGAAAUCAUGCCUAUAGGUUUCAAAUAAUUCUGUAAUAAAAAUCAUGUCUGCAGGUCUUAAAAUCAGCCUAACAAAUAGAUGUCAUGCCUAUAAGAUUUAACCUGAAUUAUGUUAUAUCAAGUGUUUAUGUAUGUUUCUAUGCCUACAAGUCUUUAAAAUCAGUAUUAAACUUAGAUAUCAUGCCUAUAGGGAACAAUAUCAAAUCUUGCCUAUGGAUCUCACUUAAGUUUAGUUUAAAUAAUUUAAUCUAGUUCACGUUUCGUUCACUUCUGAAUUGGUUUAAUUAAGUAGUAUAUUUCCUAAAACAAGUUCUUUCAAAACUGCCUCAUUUUAUCAUUAGAUAGCAUGCCUAUAGGUAUUAAAAGUCCAUCUUAAAACUCACCUUAUUUCACUAUAAGACGUAGUUAUUAGUGUUCCGCGUAGGCAAGCCUGUAGGGCAUUUAUUUUAAAAACUUGCAAUUCAGAAGUUGUUUCUGUGACUUAGUGUCUUUCUGAUCUUAAUAGGCUUUAAAAACCAAUAGGCAACUGUUAGGGUCCUUACUUCUGUGUCUAAAAAUAAGUUUCUUAUUUUCUACAUAUUCACCUAGAUAUCCUGCCUUAGGAUACUGUUUAAUAAGGAACCCUUAAUUGUGCUUGAGUCGUGUUGUUUAUGUGCCUUGUUUGAGGAGGAAAAUUUGAGCCGCUAUUUUAUCCCUUUUAUCUUAUGUGUUGAAGUCCUAGUUGUUUUGCCUGUCGCCUUAGAAUUUCACCUUUAAACUCUUAGGGGUCUUUCUAGAACCACCUAUAGGUAGAGGUCCUAUAUCCCUUCAGGACCAUUAAGAAGGGACGAGUAACAACACGCAAUAGAGAUCGCUGACCAAACACUCGCUUUGCAUGACCACUAAGGGCAUGGGAAGGGUAGAUAUGGGAUAUAAUGACUACGCGCUAAUGUCACGUGUAGCCCUCAUCGAGGAGAGUUUACCGGACAUUGUGUGGGGUGAUCCUAUAAGCUAACCAACUUAGGACUCCUCCUUUUUUCCAAAAUUCCUGUUUUUUAAACCUUUGUUUUAUACAACUUGUUUGAAAAAUCUUUAUCUUAUUACUCGAGUUAUCCAACAUGCUUUACUUGCAACCUAUUUGAUUCAACUAUUUUUUGUAAUGGACUAUUUUGUAAAUAUAAGUUCUAUCGGGACCCAGAGUUGUGGACCAAGAGGGGUGCCUAACACUUUCCCCUCAAGGUUAUUUCAAGCCCUUACCCUAAAUCUCUGGUAAUGCAAACCAAUCCAUGAGUAAUUACUCUAGGUGCCCUAACAUACCAUAACUCGUUAGGCGACUACUCUUCAAAUACCCAAUUCCCAAAAGGAAAUGAGUUAUCACACCCUAUGGAAUGUCGAAACCCGGACCUCUCUCCGCAGAGGGAAAAAAAGGGGGCACGACAAGAGGAGAAGCAGAACGCAGUAAAUGCUAAGUGAUAUGGAGCUCAGCUAAGCAAAAGCAACUUCCGCAUCCAACGACGAUGAUUUUAACCUCUUAGAACUCAACAAAUGAGAAGUAAUCAAUGACCCGUUGAAAUCCUUUUUGAAUCUGAGUUCUUUUUUAUUUUUUCAAAGCUUUUGCUUCUCAAAUCACGAUAUUUGGAAAUCCAAACUUUUGUUUUCAUAUACUCUCUAGCGUGUGUAGGAGUGGGAGUGGAAAUUAUAGAUGAGUGUGUGUGUGUGUGUAAGACUAGAUGAGAGAGAUGAGAAAGAGUGAAGAGGCGGCUAGGGUUUUAGGUAGGGGGAUACGUUCUUUCAGAGAGGGGAAGGGGGAAUCGUUGGGGUUAGGAAAAUGGGGAGGGUCUCCAUCUGUUUAAGGGAAUUGGGAUAGGGGGUUUCUGGCCAUUGGAUCGAGGGGAAAUCAAGGGCUAGGAUUGAGAGAUGGCCAAAUGAUGUCAUUUGGUUCAAUAGGGGCGUGGACCAGAUUUGAGAGUCGGCUGGGGCGGAUUUCAUGUCGAUUGAAGGGUAAUUGGGCCGUCUAAACUCAUUUGGCCCAAUUCUGCAGACCCUUUCUUUCCUAUCCUUCUUUGUUAGACUUUUUUUUGCAAAAUUAGCCAUUUUAGACUCAAAUUUUAAUUAAAACCCAUUUUUGUAUGACUAGCCUAUUUUUUUUUUAUCUAAUGAUGGACUAAUACAACUAAUUAACUAACCUAAAAAUGUAUUUUUUUAUAUUUUUAGAUAUUUAAAAGAUGCAUUUAAUAAUGUAAUUAAAUCCUAAAAUGCAAUUUAAAAUUUAAAAUGCUAUCAAAUUAAGAUUUGAACAUUUUUAUGAUUUACGAUAUUCCUGACAUGCAUAAACAAUGUGAAUAAAUGCAAAACAAAUAAAGAAAAACUUUUAAAAUUCAUAAAAUAAUUAAAAUUAUUUUUUACGAGUAAUUUCCUAUGUGGGGGCAAAAAUUAGGUGCUCACAGCCGCCAUUUUUAUAAUUUUUGAAUUAUUUUUUACGAGUAAUUUCCUAUGAAGAGUUUUUGGGCAAAGAUUAAGUAAGCAAUCAUGAAUUAUUUUUGCCCGUUUGGUACUCCAUGUGAAGCAUUUUGAAAAAGUUUGACCGAACCUUGCUUCGAAAUUGCCUACAUAUCCUUGGCUAUAAAGGAAUCAGGUCAGUGUAGUUUUGGAGUUUGGUAACUGGGACUAUCGAAUAGCUGUAAUUUCAUCGUUGUUGUUGUUGUUACUGCUUGCUGACUCCUUAUUACACCAAAAUCAAAAUGAAAAGAAACUAAACAAGUCUAUCAGCUAUGAGUUACAAGAUUCAUAUCUCUAAGUCUUCUUAAACUUGAUCUAGAGUCUUGGCUAGCUCUUCAUGCAGACUCUGAUAUGAACCUUGAUGCUUGCUAGUUGCAGAUGCUAUUUCAUUUUUCUAUGGUUUCUUCAGAUCAAAAUGGGACAUGCAAAGCGCUUGACUUCAGUCAUGUGUUGAGCAGUCCACAUCCUUUUAUCCGCUUCUGCAUUUCGGAUUCAUUUAUUUUCAUUUCUUUAUUUUGGAUCGAAACUUCUUCUUUUGAUUAUCUUGAACCCGUGCCUCGAGGUAAAACCUGCCCAGACACCAAAAUAAACAAACGAACGAAAUUUUUCUGCCCCAGUGUUGUCUGGAAAAAAAUUAGUGAGUUAUUUGUAACAAAUAUCUAUACUACUUCAUUAUUGAAAGCAAAUAAAAGGCCGGAAUUGGUGUACCCUAAGAAAAUAGAGACUAGAGAGUGGAGACCCUAUGUCUAAAAUGAAAGCAACUAGGGACUGGAGACCCAAUGUUGGAAAAGGAGACUAGGGAGUGGAGACCCUAUGUCUAAAAUAAAAUCUACAAAAGAGUGGAGACCCUAUGUUAGAAAAGGAGACUAGGGAGUGGAGACUCUAUGUCUGAAAUAAAAUCUACAAGGGAAUGGAGACCCUAUGUUGGAAUAGGAGACUAGGAAGUGGAGACCCUAUGUCUAAAAUAAAAUCAACUAGGGAAUGGAGACCCUAUGUUGGAAAACAAUACAAGGGAGUAGAGAUCCUAUGUCUAAAAUAACAUCAACUAGGGAAUGGAGAGCCUAUAUUGGAAAAGAGACUUGGGAGUGGAGACCCUAUAUCUACAAUAAAAUAAACUAGGGAAUGGAGACCCUAUGUUGGAAAAGAGACUAGGGAGUGGAGAUCCUAUGUCUGAAAUAAAAUCAACUAGGGAGUGGAAACCCUAUGUUGGGAAAACGACUCGGGAGUGGAGACCCCAUGUCUAAAACAAAAUCAACUAGGGAGUGGAGACCCUAUAUUGGGAAAGCAACUAGGGAGUGGAGACCCUAUGUCUAAAAUAAAAUUAACUAGGGAGUGGAGACCCUAUGUUGGAAAAGAGAGUAGGGAGUGGGACCCUAUGUCUAAAAUAAAAUCAACUAGGGAGUGGAGACCCUAUGUUGGAAAAGGAGACUAGGGGGUGGAGACCCUAUAUCUAAAAUAAAAUCAACUAGGGAGUGGAGACCCUAUAUUGGAAAAAGACUAGGGAAUGGAGACCAUAUGUCUGAAAUAAAAUCAACUAGGGAGUAGAGACCAUAUGUUGGAAAACGCAGCUAGGGAUUGGAGAUUCUAUACUACCAUAUUUGAACUUUUUCUUCUUUUUUUAUUAGGAGAAUGAGUAAAAUGCGGGAAAGAAUUUGAAGAAGACUUCCCUUUUUUGGAGUCAUUGUUGCGGCAGAGCUAUUUUAGUCUCCGCGUGGUUUCUUUUUGGGUGCACCUUCUUCUUGCAAGGUUGCUUUGGAUUAUACCUGUUUCCUAUUUUUCAAACAAAGAACAAUUUGUCAGUUUGAAAUAGUGGUUGGUUUUGUGGCCUUGAGUAUUUCAGUCACUUGAUCUCGGCCCAACUUCUUUGAUGAUGAUUUCAACUGCUACUGGUUAUUUCCUGAAUACCGAUUGCAUUUCCGACCCCGGAGAACCUCUGGCUUUUCUAGACUUUUCAAUAACGGUUGGUCACGUGGGACUCAACCUUUCGACUUUAUUUUGCCUUCGUAGGCCUUCCACUUCUGACUUGUUUUUUCCAAUUUUUAACUUCGGAGCAUUGGGCAACUUUUGGCUCUUUCAAAAUUUUGCCGCGACAUCUAGUCGCGUGGGACUUAACCUUUUCCAACUUUAUUUUUCUUCGAAGGACUUCAAUUUGACUUCCUUCUUUUGAGAGUUUUUUAUUUCGAAGCAUCAUCCACCAUGGCCAGUCGGGGUCAACUUGAUACCACUGCCAAGGUUGGAUGCCUUUUUGCAUAUUAGUUUGUAUCAAAUGAGAACCCUGUAAAUUAGUCUUGUCAUUCCUUCUUUAUCUAAGUUUUGGAACAGGGUUAGACCGAAAGGGAUUCAAAGAAAAACAAGCAAUGGAAGGGGCAAAUGAAUUUAGACAAGAGGUAUACCUUUUGGGGGAAGGAAAGAAGGACUUAUCUGGAGUACAUGCGGACUUCAAUGAACAUGACAUGCCUUUUGGACUGGAUACUUGAUCUGUGUAAGCCGUCCGACUCUCAUAAAUUCAUUACAACUUUUGCCUCAAAACCGAGAAACCUUGCUCAUGGCCGUGAAGAUCCUCUUUUCGAUCAAUGGUGCCUUUGCAGGUUUUCACCAGCUAACCUCUCUCAUUUCUCUUCUCGCCAUCGCCUUAAAGUGCUCUUUGCGAGUUUUCACUAACAUGACUCUCUCAUUUUAAUUUCUCUGCUUACCAUCGGCAUACGGUGCCCGUAUGGUUUUCACCAAUAAGAAUCAUUCAUAUUAUUUCUCUCAUUUAGUUGUAUCAGAUCCAAGUUACCGUAUACUCCAAAUGAACAUCUUUGCCGAUUGUUUGGAAGGACUUGAACAGGAUUUGGGAUAAAAAAAUUUGGAUUGAAUUACAACUUUGGAACGUUUCCGGCGAAACCAUCGCCGAACCAUUGUAAUAUCUGCCCCAGUUUCACUUUUGGGGGAAUUUGGAUUUUUAAUUUGGUGUGAAUGAAUCCUAGAGAGAGGCUGCCGACGUAUCCUUUCAUAAUCAAGUUGAACGUAGUUAAGGAACUUUGUUUUUUUUCUUCUAAUUUUUUGCUUUUUCAACUGUUUUUUUUUCUCUUUCUUUUUCCAUUUUUUUAUUUCAAUUUCUUUUUGUCUCUUUUUUUUCAAUAAUAUUUUCAGGUUCCAAAAAGGAUAAUCAAAGUAAAAGGGAACCAGCCCAAAGGGUUUGCAUGGAUUGGUAGUGUUUGGGUAGCGAGAGUACAAGCCUUCGUCAUCCCAAUUAGAGAGCAUUAAAAUUGUGUAAAAGGGUCAAACAUAAUACCAUUUGACCACAUCUGCAUUGAUAACUGUUUCGGGGUCAUUUCCUUUGAUGUCUCCCAAAUAUAGUGCUCCCUUUGGCAACACUUUUCUUAUAAUGUACGGACCUUUCCAAUUUGAAAUAAAUUUUCCUUUGGCUUCUUCAUGAUAUUGGAGAAAACGUCUUAGAACGAGUUUCCCCACUUUGAAUUUUCUACGCCGCACUUUCUUGUUGUAGGCAUAGGCCAUUCUCUAUUAGUACAACUGCCCGUGGCAAACUGCGGCCAUCUGCUUUUCAUCAAUCUAAGUCAACUGUUCCAAUUGGGUUUUGACCCAUUCAUCAUCCUCGAUCUCAACUUCAACAAUGAUCCGAAGAGAGGGAAUCUCAUCUUCUGUAGGUAUUACAGCUUCAGUUCCAUAAACCAAUAAAUAGGGUGUGGCCCCAACUGAUAUACGUACGGUUGUACGAUAUCCUAAUAAUGCAAAUGGCAACUUUUCAUGCCAUUUCCUGGAACCCUGAAUCAUUUUCCUGAGAAUUUUCUUGAUAUUCAUGUUUGCAGCUUCAACAGUGCCAUUAGCUUUGGGUCGAUAAGGAGUAGAAUUACGAUGCAUAAUUUUAAAUUGUUCGCAUACGUCCCUCAUCAAGGGGCUAUUCAGAUUUGCAGCAUUGUCUGUAAUGAUAGUUUUAGGAAUAACCAAAUGACAAAUAAUGUUGGAAUACACAAAGUCCACCACUGCUUUCUUAGUGACGCCUUUGAAAGUGAUUGCAUCGACCCACUUUGUGAAAUAAUCAAUGGCAACCAAGGCGAAUCUGUGCCCAUUUGAAGCUUUCGGCUCGAUUGGCCCAAUAACAUCCAUGACCCAAGCGACGAACGGCCAAGGUGUUGACAUAGGAUGUAACUCUGAAGGCAGUGCAUGAAUCAGGUCACCGUGUAUAUGGCAUUGAUGGAACUUCCGGACGAAACUGAAACAAUCUUUCUCCAUGGACAUCCAGUCAUAACCUGCCUGGAGGAUUUUCUUUGCAAGGACGUAUUCGUUCAUGUGAGGCCCCCAUACUCCUGAAUGCACUUCGUUCAUAAUUUUUUCAGCUUCUCGGGCAUCUACACACCUCAAAAGAUUCAAAUCUGGAGUUCUUCUGUACAAGACCUCUCCGCUAAAAAAGAAACUGCUUGCAAGCCUUCUGAUAGUUCUUUUUUGAUCUCACUGGCCUACUCGAGGUAUUCUUUUGUUUUUCAGAAACCUUUUAAUAUCAUGGCACCAUGGCUGAACAUCUAGCUCCAUUUAAUUACAUUACAAUAACCAUACCUUUAUCGAAUUUGGAUUUCCAGCGGCUCAAUAUGGACAUUUCCGGGGUAUGGCAGCAUUGAGGCCAAAGUAGCUAGUGCAUCGGCUAGCUCAUUGUGGAAUCGAGAAAUAUACCUGAACUUGAUGGACUUGAACCGUUUGUUGAGACCUUCCACACAUUGCAUGUAUGGGAUGAGAUUGAUGUCUCGAGUUUCCCAUUUGCUUUGGGCUUGCCGAAUGAUCAAAUCAGAAUCUCCCAUGAUUAACAAUUCCUCUAUAUCCAGAUCAACUUCCAUAUUCAUGACCAUACUACAGGCUUCAUACUCAGCGGUGUUGUUUGUACAGAAGAACUGAAGUCGGGUUGUUGCCAGAUAAUGCUAACCUGUGGGCAAAAUAAAAAUUACCCAAUCCCGAUACCUUUUUGCAUUCACAACUCCAUCAAAGAACAUUUUCCAGGCAUUGGUGUUCUCCUGAACUACCUCAACUGAGUUUACUUCCUCGUCCGGAAAGUAAGUACUUAAGGGUUGAUAUUCAUCAUCAAUCGGGUUCUCAGCUAGAUGAUCCGCCAAGGCUUGGGAUUUUAUCGUCGUGCGGGUGACAUAGACUAUGUCAAACUCGGUGAGCAAGAUGUGCCAUUUUUCUAACCUUCCCGUGGGCAUUGGUUUUUGGAAUAUGUAGUCCAGGGGAUCCAUUCUGGUUAUAAGAUAUGUGGUGUAGGGCAAAAGAUAAUGUCUGAGCUUCUAGCGACCCAAGUCAGAGCACAACAAAGUUCUUUCCAACAAAGUGUAUUUGACUUCAUAACUGGUGAACUUCUUGCUCAAAUAGUAUAUGGCUUGCUCUCUCUUACCGGUCACAUCGUGUUGCCCCAGGAUACAGCCGAAAGAAUUUUCCAAGACUGUCAGGUAAAGAACAAAGGUCUCCCCGACUCUGGUGGAACCAACACUGGCAAAUUUGAGAGAUAUUCUUGAUUUUAUCAAAAGCUUCUUGACAUUCAUCUAUCCAUCUGAUUGUCGCAUCUUUCUUUAACAACUUAAAUAUGGGCUCACAUGUGGUAGUAAGCUGAGAAAUGAAUCUACUGAUAUAAUUCAAUCUUUCUAGCAAACUCAUGACCUCUUUCUUGGUUUUCGGAGGAGGAAAAUCCCGAAUAGACUUUAUCUUUGUUAGAUCUUAUUCAAUACCCCUACGACUGACUAUAAAUCACAAAAGUUUUCUAGAUGGAACUCCAAAUGCGCAUUUAGCUGGAUUCAAUUUCAAAUCAUACCUGCCGAAACGCUCAAAGAACUUCCUAAAAUCUUGCACAUGGUCAUUCUGCAUUCUAGAUUUAAUGAUCAUAUCAUCCACAUACACCUCAAUUUCCUGGUGCAUCAUGUCAUGGAAGAUGGAAGUAUAGCUCUCAUGUAGGUCGCCUCAGCGUUUUUAAAACCAAAUGGCAUGACCUUCUAACAGUAAGCGCCCCAAGGUAUGGUGAAAGCCAUCUUUUCUACGUCUUCUUCAUCCAUCAGAACCUGGUGAUACCCAACAUAACAAUCCACGAAAGACUGUAUCUCAUGUUUGGCACAGUUGUCAACAAGAAUGUGGAUGUUUGGCAAUGGAAAGUUGUCCUUGGGGCUUGACUUGUUCAAUCCCGAUAAGCAACACACACUCGGGUUUUCCCAUCUUUCUUCGGCACUGGAACCAUAUUAGCCAACCAUGUGGUGUAUCGGACCACUAGGAUCACACCAGCUUUCAAUUGUUUGGUGACUUCUUCUUUGAUGUUAUCACUGAUGUCCGUUUUAAACUUUCUUUGCUUUUGUUAGACAGGUGCAUAACCGGGAUAAGUUGUCAAUUUAUGUACUACCAAAUUAAUGCUCAGCCCUGGUAUAUCAUCAUAGGACCAUGCAAACACGUCUUUAAAUUCAAACAAAAGUUGGAUCAAUGCAUCUCUAGUUCUUUCAUCGGCGUGAAUGCUCAUGGUUUCUCGGACAUCUUCUGGGCUGCCCAAGUUAACUGGCUUGGUUUUAUUUAAGUUUGGCUUAGGCUUAUUCUCAAAUUGUUCCAAUUCUCGAUUUAUUUUCCUAAAGGCCUCAUCUUCAUCAUAUUCCGGUUCUUAAUUCAUUAUUUCACAGUUAGGCAGCAUUUUAGGAUUUGGGCAUGAAGUUCGCAAGCAUGUCCUGUUAUUUAAGUCCGCAUUAUUAGAACUAAAAAGAAAAAGAUAAGAAAAAUAGCAAAAAUCAAAAUAAAGAAAAAGAGACAUCUAUGGAUGAUGAAAUAUUGAUUUCAUUGAAUUGAAUUGGAGGGUUUACAUCGAAAUCAAAAGACAAUAAAGUAAAAACAUUCGAGUUGCACCCUAAAAUAACUCGUAAUGCAGAAAAGAUGUCAAGAUCGAAAAUGGGGUAGCUUUCCAAUGUUGAAGCUUGGCAUCUGGUCUCAUAUACAACACCUCAGCAAUGCUCGUGUCUUCCCUUGGCUACCAUGUGAGACUCAUAUAGCAUUUGCUUCAAAGCUUUACAAAUAUCAUCAAUUUCUUCGGCCGUGAAAGCCACUUCUUCUUCUUUUUAUAUAUACUUGGGUUUAACAAAUAACUUGGUGAGAUGCGGAACGGGCUGGGGUAGGACCCACCCUUUUUCUUUGGGUUCUUUAGCCUAUUUUUUGUCGGCAUCUGUGGCUUGGAAACCUAUGCCGAAGAACUUCUCAUUGGCAAUUGAAGUAAUAGACUCUAUGAUGCUCUGUAGAGAUACCCCAAGCCCUUUCCCAGGCUUGUACCCAUGUAUAAUCAUUUCAGUGGUGACCAUGACUGAGGCAUUAGAUAAUCAAGGUUGAGGGAAUGGGGCCCCUUCUUCACAUUGAUCGGCAACCGCAAUCUCGAAGGCCUGGUAUACAAUAUAUUCACUGCCCUCCCUAGCUUCGAGACACAGUACUAAAUAGUCCCUGUAAAUGGAUUGUUUAUCCUCCCCAUGGACAAAAAUUUCCUGGUUUUCAUAUUCAAAUUUGACCAUUUGGAGGAGCGUGGAGGGCACAACUCCUACAGCAUGAAUCCAUGGUCUUCCUAGGAAAAAAUGGUAUGAGGUGUCCAUAUCCAGAACCUGGAAAGUUACUUUGAAAUCCGCGGGGCCAAUGGUCAAAAUCAAAUCGAUGUCCCUUAUCGUGUCUCUUUUGACCCUAUCAAGAGCCCAGACACAAACGUUGUUAGGUCGGAUUCUUUUAGUUCUGGUCUCCAUUCUUGGAAAUCUUGAGAGAGGGCAAAUAUCGACCCCGGAACCACCAUCUAGCAUGACUCUCUUCACAUAAUAACCCUCAUAUUUGACAGUCAAGUGAAGGGCUUUGUUGUGGGCGACUCCCUCAGGGGAAAAUCAUCGCGACUGAAAGAAAUCCUAUUGACCUUAAAGAAUCGUUCAGCCAUUCUCUCCAAUUGUUCAACUGAAGUUCCAGCUGGAACAUAUGCCUCAUUCAAUGUUUUUAAGAGGAUCUUCUGGUGUUCGUUCAGACUUAGCAGCAAAGAUAAAAGCGAGACCUGGGAAGGAGUCUUCCGGAGUUGGUCAACAAUUGCAUAUUCUGAGGUUUUCAUUUUUCAGAAAUACUCUUCUACUUCCUCAUCCUCACAGGCUUCUUUGGGAGGAAACUGUUUAUCCUUGUUCAACUUGGAUUUCUUUAACUCUUCUGGGUUGUGGUACUUCCCAGAUUGAUUCAUUUUAUUUACCUCUCCCAUGACCUCUUUCCUCCUGUAGGUAACCACUGUUAUGUUGUAAUUCCAGGGGACUGUGGUGGGGUCUCUCAUAGGGCUCUAUGGUGUACGGCUGAUAACCACGAGCUCAGUCAGUCUUGGUGGGAUUACCGGCCCUCGCGCCACAUAGGUCCCUUCUGGCACAUAUAACUUCGGCACAUUCAACAUGGCCUUUCUUUGCUUGAAUUUCUUGGGAGUGUUCAAGAUGAACUAUUCUUUUCUUGGAGCCUUAGGAACAUAGAGAAUUGCAUUUUUAGCAGGUGCUAUCCUAGUUUUUGUUUCUACAGAUUUUGCUACAGUUUGAGGAAAAGGAGUGAUUUUUUUCUCAGUUUUGGCUUGUUUCGCUGCCGCUUUGGGUUUUGCCAUUGAAUCGGCAAUUGUGAUAAUGGCUUUCAAUGCUGGAUUAAAUUCCUUGUCAUCACAAAUCAUUCCAAUUACCGGCCCAUUGUUGUGAGCCGGUAAUGGAUUAUUAGUCACAUUAGGGACUUUCUCGUCCCUCAGCACAACUCGUUUUUGUUUUAUCAAAUUUUCAACUGCCCUUUUAAGGGUCCAACAGUCCUCCGUAUCAUGACCCUCUGCUCUCGAAUGGUAGGCCCACCUGGUACCGGCCCAGUAUGAUGGGGAUUCAUGAUUUUGCCAAUUUAGGGGUACCGGUUGCAAUAGACCCAACUGGAUUAACUUCGGGAAUAGGCUAGAGUAGGAUUCACCAAUAGGAGUGAGAUUGUUUCUCUUCAUCGGCUCACGAGGGCAUGGAUUAUAUUGGUGGUUGUUUGGUGGUGGGCGGGGGAGCAGAGGUAUAAGGAGCUUAGAAAGGAUGGUUAUGUAUGGGAGGUGGAGCUCGGGCUUGGUUGUAGUGCUGUAGCGGCUGUGUAUAGGGUUGGGCAUUCGUCACCACAUAAUGAGGCGGUGCUGUGGUGUAGGCUGUAUCUUGGUGGGGAUAGUACUGUUGGGGGGUUAUGGGCGGCAUUAAAGAGUGAUCAUAUGAUCGACGGGGCCCUCUUGAACCUAAAACCAUCAUGGCUCCUUCCUCUCUCUUUUUAUGACUGGCUACACCCCCGAGCCAUUCUGCAUGGAUUAGGAAGUAGCUUUCAAAGAAGCUUGACUCAGUAUCCGGCCAGUAUUCAGGCCAUUCUCUACCAUUUCUCAAAUUUUUAUUGCUUUUGCAAAUGGUUUGCCCAUGGAGGACAUCAUAUUCUGAAAAUAAUCGGCCUCUUGGGCCUGCAAGAAAACAAUAACCAUUUAUGUCUCAUCCAUGGGCGGUUUUCACUUUGGCAGCUUGCUCACGCCACUUGAUAGCAUAUUCGUGGAAACUUUCCGGGGUUUUCUUCUUCAAGUUGGAUAGGGAAUUCCUGUCUGGAGCUAUAUCAACAUUGUAUUGAAGUUGUCUGACAAAAUCUCGUACCAAAUCAUCCCAUAUGUGCCACUUGGAGAUUUCCUGGACCAUAUACCAUUCUGAAGCGAUUCCAGUUAGGUUUUCCCCGAAAUAAUCCAUCAAUGACUCUUCUUUUCCAGAAGCACCCCUCAGCUGGUUACAGUAUUGUUUUAGAUGACCGAUCAGGUCUCCGUGCCCAUUGUACUUUUCAAAUUUUGGCGUUUUGAAGCCAGCAGGCAAGUGAACAUGGGGAAACAUACAUAGGUCAGAGUACGAGACACUCUUUUGGCCACUCAGGCCUUGCAUGUUUUUUAGGCUUUGUUCCAGGCUUCUCAUCUUCCGAGCCAUUUCUUCCUGCUCGGGGUUUCUCACUAUUCUUUGUUAUUCCAUUGGGGACUCAUAUUGGAAAUGCUAAGGGUAUGAGUCUAGAGUAACAUGAGUUGUGUCUAGCUGAAAUUAUAGGCCUUGGAAAGUGAACGUUGAAGGCUCAAAGCAUGGCCUGGGCACUAUUGGUUGUGUCAUAGUAAAGACUGGUAGUGCGAUGAACAAUGUAGAAGUUACCCCUAAAAACGGUGCCUGGGGGCAAACCUCAGAAGGCAUAUCGGUAAAAUUGGCUGACAUAGUUGGGUACCCAAACGGGACGAAUGGGUUGGACAUGGGGAUGGGGAUGUUGGUGGUUCCACCCGUCCUGGGGAUCAACUCGGGAAAUCCAGGGAUUGAACUUGGUGGUUCUCUACCGUUGGACCAGGCAUACCAUAUCUCCAACAUGCAGAGACGCAACCUCAUGUUCUCUUCGGCAGAUGUCGAUUUAGGCUUGGACAUAAUCGGUGUGGCAUUAUCCUUAGGAUCGAUGACGUGGAGACUACUUUCUGAAGACAUUGGGACACUUCCUUUUGAUCUUUUAAAGUAAGGGUGAGAAGCCAGGAUACCGUCAAAACCAACCACCUAAACAAGACAUAUCUUGAUUUGCACGCACAACAACCUUGUCAGUUUUGAGACAUUUAAUAGAUAGGGAAUCGCAUAUUGGGGAUGCAAUGCACCUGAAUAGUUAAACAUUUCUAAAUGUUUUUGCAACAGCUGCGUGUUUCAUCAAUAUUUUUGCUAUCUCUUUUCUCAUCUGUAGGUUUUUUCUAUCAAUCAAAUUUCAAAUCUUGAUUUCUUUUUCCCUCUCUUUUUCGUUAUUUUUUGCUCUUUUGUCUUUAUCUAUUAUUUUGUCACUCUUUUCUUUCUUUUUUUCUUUCUUCUCUCUUUUUUGCUCGGUUUAAUUAAUGGAAAUGAUCGAAUCCGAUGGGUAUUGCCUACAUAUCAUGACGCCGCAUGAAUCAAAAUAUUACGUAGUUCAGGGGAAUAAAUGCAAAAUGAAAGUAAAAUUUUUUUUUGGGGUUCUUCAAUAUUUCAUUAAUAAAAAUCUUUUUGGGUUUUCUGUUACAAAGACUCAGAAAUACUGACAAUUAAAAAGAAACAUACAGACUCAAAACAGAACAAAAAAUAGACUCAACAUGGAUGAAAAGACUAACCGACUUGAGAAAAAGUAAAAUACAGGCUCAAAAGCCGAAAAUCAGGAAGACAUAAGAGCCUCCAAUGUUAUUCCGGGGGGGCGUGAGACAUCAGUCGGUCUCGGUGUGGGCCUACGUGCAAUUUCUUCCUGAAGGUGCUCUAGAUCGGCCAUCACCUAGAGAACAAAUAUCAUCACUAGAAGCAAAAAAUAUGGAUCUGGUCAUAUCCUCGCAUUCAUGGCACUUCAUUGCAACAUAAUCAGUUAUUUCUUUAAUUCUCAUUCUAAUGACACCCAUUUCUUGAAGCAAGCGUCCAAUUUGCUAUGCCCAUGCUUCCAGCACCUGCGUGGCUAUGUUGUUUUGGUCUUGCAUUUUUUGCAUGUUUUUUUCUAAUUGGUAAAUCGGUGCAUAGCACUGCUCUCCUUUUGUUUUGAAGUCCUUUGUCUGUUGAACCAUUUCAUUUCAUGGAUGGCUAGCUUUUUCCUUAAAAUUGUGACUUCUCUAUGGUAUUUCUGCUUCAAUUGGUGGGCUAACCUAGCCUGUUCUUCUACACCUUUUGCCAACUUUGCUCGGGCUUUCAACAAGUCUUUCUCGGCCUUUGUCAGAUUGGCCGCAUAGUCAUUCACCUUUAACCUCAAGUUGUUUAUGUUUCUUUCGUCCUUCUCACUCCUCACAGGUGUUUCAGAGUCUACCUCAUGUCCCGGAGUUGGGCUUGGAGUGCCUCGUUCUCCCGGGUGAACCUUUUCCUUUCACCUUCAGCUUCUUGCGCCUGUAAGUCACUAUCAAAUGUGAGGUUUCUCAACUUUUCUUCUAAGGCGUGAAUGGUUGCUUGAUAUUUUUUCUCAUUUGCUCCCUAGGCCAACCGUUCUCAGAUCUUAUCAUCGAAAGCCUAAAUAUGAGGUCUUUUGGCCAGCCUUUCGGGCUCGGGCUCAUUAUUAACGCGAGACCUCUUCUCGAACCAUAUGGCAUAACCUGGGUCCACUUCACCUCUCGCAGGAUCUGGCACCUAGGUAUCAUCUUUCAGGUAUUGGCAGCCAUUCCAAAUUUGUUGGAUUAAAGCCUCGGGGAGUAGAGCUUUAGGGUGUAGUUCGAUGACUUGGACACUCAAAUAUUCAUCUUCGGGCACCACUUGGUAUCUUCCCAACUGUCUUAGAACUCUCUGCGGUGCAUAUGGUUGGACACUUCUCAAGCCCAUCAACAACAAAUAGCCUUUUGUAGCCGUCAUGUGUGUGACUUCCCUUAACGGGAGCCAACCCAAAGUCCAUUCAACCUAACUCGCCUUUAAAUUUCUUAGAUGGAAGAUCCGGCUUCAACCCCUUUUGGAGAGUUGUAAUCUUUUACCCUUUACUCAUAACUCUCGAUGAAGUUGUUCUUGCUCGGGCCAUAACUCAUGAAUUUGGGGUGAUGGCGGAGACGCUCAAUCAAACCACAUUUGCAAAAGAAUAUUUCACCCUUCAAAAAAACUUUGCCCCAGAUUUACACAACAUCAGUGCUUGAUAGAUGUCCGACAAUAUAAGUGGAGCAAGCGUGUGAUCCUCUUUGGUAGUGAGGACUUACGCAAUUCUAGCCAUGCAGAUAUCAAUUUUCCGUUCUUCAUUUAGGAAGGCCAUAAUUCCCAGAAAUGCCACUAUGAAAGCAAAGUGGCAUUGGAUUUUCCAAAUGUCCUUAUUUUGCUUGUUGUUCAGGCCCUUUUCAUGUAUUUCAAACCCAUUUAAGUGCCCAUAUCUGGAAUAUAGGAAGUAAAAGAAACAACAUCCUUUGUUUACAUUGUUCUUCCUUAUUUGCUUACCGAUAUUCAAGAGAUUAAAGAAUCGGUGCACAUAGGGAGGCCUUGGGAAUAUAAGUUGCUAAUUUCUCAAGUCCCGGUCGAAACCAGAAUAUCCGUCUAUUUCCUCCAAAGUGGGAGUAGGUUCAAAAUUCGAGAAGCGGAGAACGUUGUGGACGGGAUCCCAAAAAGUCACUAAGGCCUUAAUUUGAUCAUCCUGCGGUUUGACUUUCAUAAUAUCUGUAAGAGCACACAAAUGCUUUGUUACCCAAUCCUGGCCAUCUUUAUCUAAGUCGUACCACCACAUUUGAAGCCGCAGCGUAGCCUGCUCUACGACUGUUAAUGGCAGGUUUUGGAUAGUGUUCAUUUUGCACCUGUGGAUAGUUAGGGUUAGGGUUGACUUUAGUGGACUUUUUUUGCAAAGCAAACUUUCAAUUUUCCAAGGAAACAUCAAAAGAGGGUGGCUAUUUAUGCAAUAUUAGCAAAAUAUGGCUAUUUUUUCAACAAUGGCCCCUUCUCACUUUCAAUGAAGUUUGAGGCCGAGGAAGGGAACUUUAUGGAAAAAGUGAUGUCCCAUUGACAGAUAUGUCCGUUAUUUAUGAGAAUAGCCCUUCGAGAAUUUGAAGAUGUUCUAAGUCUAUUCCGGCAAAAAUGACUCAAAAUACAACAGAAGCUGGGUCGGCUUACUAUUUUGACCAAAGCACCAGACAUAUUUUUUUUAUUUGGUUAUUUUUGCAAAAAUGAGGCCGAACCCUAUGUAGAUUACUUAUGUAUCUCACAUAUGGUGAGAAUCAGACCUGCGUAGUUCGGUCAGUUUUGACACAACCGGGAAAACAUGUUAUUGACUCAUUUUGAAAUGACUCCCUUCUUUUUUUUCUUUUUUUUUCAAAAAUUUCGGCAAAGUUUCGGGGCUUUCUAAAUACCGGGGUUUUUAGAACUGAGCAAAUUUCUCUCUCCCACCUCACUCUUGGUUUUUCUCUUGAUUUGCUUUUCCUAGCCGCUCAACAUGCAAGCCGAAAUAAAUAUAUGCACAAAUAGCACAUAGGAUGCAUCAAGAUGGUCUUUUAUUUUGGGUACAGCUGUCCUAGACGGACCCAACCCAUGUGUUGAGUCCCCAAAGUUAAAUGCACGUGAUGCAAACAAACGUUCCUACUAGAGAUCCGGCAUGAGGCUAUAUUAUUCUAGGUUUAAGAAUGUGGGGGUGUGUUCUAGACAUGGCUUACCCAAGCGGACAUCUCAAGUCGAGGUGGGGGCAAUGUACUGGGAGCACGUAAGUCUACCUGGCUAGUUGUUGAUCCAACCUCGUUCUAUUCGGUAUGACUUCUAACAGAAAAGUGGGUCACGCGCAGGUGUGCACCAUAUUUUUAUAAGACUCAGAAGGGAGGCGUAAGAAGGCAAUUUAUACAGUUAAGAUAAUAUCAAAAGGGUAAAUGAGCAGCAAUUAGCACAUUAGGCCCACAAACACAGUAAUAUAAAAAAUCAAGAAAGCCAAGUAUAGAUCACAUUACAAUCUCGAAUUCUGAACCCUGAACCAGAGAUUCUGGGUUCGAUCCCCAACAGAGUCGCUAGAGCUGUCACACCUCCUUUUUCCGAGGAAUAGGGAGUUUUUCCAAUUAAAGUGACAUUAUUCGAAAUGGGAUUAUUUAAUUAAUUCAGUGUCACCACUUGGGAUAUCUAUUAUGGUGUCCCAAGUCACCGAUUUAUUUUAAAUCCCAAAUAGAGAAAAUUUGACUCUAUUUGUUGUCCGCGAACACAAAAGACCGGGUAAGAAAUUCUGUUAACCUAGGAGAAGGUGUGAGGCACUCCCGAGUUCCGUGGUUUUAGCACUAUCGCUCAACUAUUUAAUUAUUAGCCUAAUUAUCUAGUUUAUUACAUGUUUAAAUCCUAUUGGUCAUUUUUAACUUUUAGCCGCUUUUAAUACUAAUGGAAUUUAUUCAAAUAAGUCGUGAUGUCGCGCACUUUUUUUUUUUACAUAUGUGAAUUGCGUCACGUGAAACGCACCUGCAAUUUAUAACAUAUUUAUUUUAAUUAUUCAAAAUUGUAGUCGAGUCGCGUGGAACGCACACUCGAUUUGGGAUUUAUAUAUCUCAACUUGCCACGGGAACCGUACCCAUAGUCACGAUAAUUUAUUUAAACGUGCCUAAAGCAAACUACGAAUAUUCAAGAUUAUUUUUUUAAAGCUAAUUUGAGAUUAUUGUGAAGGUAAAAAAUUAUGGAAUAGAUCAUGGGUAAAUACAUAUUUGAAUAAUAAAGAAGUAUCACAAAUGGUCAUAACCUGAUUAAUUUAAUGAUGCUCACGUUCUGAUUUUCAUUAAAGAAAAAGAUACAUAUUAGGCAAGAAAGCUAACUAGAACUCAAAAACAGACUUAGUUGUUCCAGACAAAAAUAAUGGUAAUUGCACAUGACAACAACAAACUAGUUCCCAAUGUAAAAGUUAUGAACAAUAAGUUUCCAUUUUUACCUUGUAGAGAAAUUUCACAUUUAAUACCAAAUGGCAAAUAAAUACAGAUUCAAAAAAAAGGGACAACAAACAGUAAGCAAACAAGAGAAUUAUCAGAGUCAAUACAUUCAAAUCUGGGAGUAACAGCACGGAAUCAUGAUAGCUUCUUAUUACGCAUAAAAUGGUGUUGUAACCAGAUAAAAAGGUUCUAUAACAUCUGUAUGGAAGUACAUAGUCUGAGACUGAAAGUAGUACCUUUAAGAAUGAGAGGAGAAGUAGAAUGCAGUAGAUGCUAAGUGAUAUGGAACUCAGCUAAGCAAAAGCAACUUUCGCAGCCAACGACAAUGAUUUUAACCUCUUAUAACUCAACAGAUGAGAAGUAAUCAAUGACCCGUUGAAAUCCUUUUUGAAUCCGAGUUCUUUUUUGUUUUUUCAAAGCUUUUGCUUCUCAAAUCUCGACAUUUGGAAAUCCAAUAUUUUUUUCAGAUACUCUCUGGGUGCGUGUAGGAGUGGGGGUAAAAAUUUAUGUAUGAGUGUGUGUGUGAGAGAGACCAUAUGAGAGAGAUGAGAAAGAUGAGAAAGAGCGAAGAGGCGUCUAGGGUUUUGGGUAAAAGGGGGGAGGAAUCCGUUCUUUCAGAGAGGGGAAGGGGAAUCGCUAGUGUUAGGAAAAUGGGGAGG